UUUUUUUCUGCGGUGUUAGUUCCAUGGCAAUACAUAGACAUAUUUCCAGGCAUUCAAACAUCAAUCAUAAAAAUUAUCUUGCACAAGGCUAGGCCUUCUUAGAACAACUCUUCCAAACUCGCUUCUUCACAUGCAACUUCAAUCGCUCUUUUAUUGAAAACAAAAAUAAAAACUUACUUGUCUACUUUAUUCACGUGGGUUGCCUCUCACAAAGAGCUUAUUUUCGGUCGGCUAGCUCGACCGUAGUGGUGAUCAAGGUGGUGCUAGAACACCGAGACCAUAUCCUCUGGCAUUCAAAAUGAUUCCACCUCUUGUGUAGGUCUUCAAUUUCUUCUUCUUGCGGAAAUGCCUUAUAAAGGGGUCUUUGGCUGGUAAAUCAAAACGAACAUUUCCCUCAAACACAUUUAUCACAGCUUUGAUAGUUCUCAGAAAAGGUCUACCGAGAAUUAUAGGAGCAACUGGAUCUUCAGGCAUACCUACUAUAACAAGAUCAAUCAUGACAGGGCAAUCAUUAAUUUGAAAUAUAACUCCAUGCUUAAUGCCUACUGCCUGAGUAAAAGUAGAGUCAGCCAUAUUCAAUAUAAUCUCACUAUUAGCAUAAGGAGAAAGAUUGAGACUAUCAUAAAAAGAUUUGGGGAUAGUGGAAACACUUGACCCUAGAUCACAUAAAGCACUGAACUUAUUAAAUCCUAUCUCAAUCCCUAUAGUAGGUUCAAAAGCAUCCUCUUGCUUAGCCGGUAACUUACUCAAUAACUUUUUUCUUUCAUCAUCAAGUUCAUGUACCUUGUCUGCAACUUGUUCAACAAAGACAUUAUAUGCCUCAUCGUUAGUUAUCUCCGGUAGUGGAUACUUCAUGGAUAUCAUCUUGAUAAAAAUAUGCAACGGUGUAAUUGUACUCUGGCACAUGACUUGUGUCAAGUACCUCAGUUUUCUCUUCGUUACUUGUUACCAUUUUAACUUCUUCAACUGAGUUAGGCUCUGGUUUACCUACAAACUUGACCAAAAUCAAGGUUUGGCUCUCUGCUAUCUUUGCCACUUGUGCCACCAUGUUCUUCCAUUUGGCUUCAAGUAUCUACACAUCAUUUGUUAGUCCAACAACCUUACUGAUCAAUUGACCAAGUAUGUUAUCAUGAUUCUUUGAGAUAUUCUUGAAGUUUUCAUUUUGCUCAGUCUGGCUAGCAACAAAACUUUUAAGGGUUUCCUCAAGAGUAUUUCUAUUAUUGCUACCAUUAGAUCCAUUAAAAUUAUUUGAUGCUCCUCCAUUAUUAGGAUAAGGAAGUUUAAGAGCAUAAAUAUUAUUUUUCCAAUUGGGAUUAUAGCUAUUACAGGCAAUAAAAUUCACAUCACUAGUAUCUUCAUCAGUGAUGGCAUUGACAUUUACCUAUUCUUUACCUUUCAUUAAAGAGAUAAGUUCUUCUACCUUGCUUGUUAAUUCUGAGCUAUUUUCUUCUAUGACAUUCACCUUGUUGGUGGUGGUUCUCUCGACAUGCCAUUGGGCAUGGUUCUCUUGCAUAUCAUCUAGUAUCUUCUUGACAUCUUCUAUGGGUUUUCCCAUGAUUUGUUCCUCCUACGGCUUUAUCAAGCAUAGUUUUUGGCAUGUGAUUCAAGCCAUUAUAAAACCUAUAAAGGAAUAAGAACUCCUCCAUUCCAUGAUUAGGGCAGUUUCUUAUAGCUUCUUUCAUUCUAUCACACGCAAGCGCAAGUGGCUCACGUUCCUCUUGCUUGAAACCUGUAAUUUGAGAACGUAAUUGCAUAACUUUUGCAGGUGGACAAAACUUAGAUAAAAAUUACUACAAAAAGUAUCCCAAGAAGUAAUACUACCUUUAAGAAAAUCUCAAAUCCACUCCUUAGCUUUUCCUCCCAAAGAGAAAGGAAAUAAGCGAAGUUUCAAAGCAUCUGGGUCAUAAUCCUUUAUGUGUGUCAUGUUGCACAAUUCAGUAAAAUUAUGUAAAUGCAUACCUGCAACUUCAAAAGCAGAGCCUCCAAAUUGGUCUCGUUGAACCAUGGAAACUAGGUUCAGUUUGAUCUCAUAUUCUGCAGCUGCAACAUCAGGAUGUGUUAUUGGUUCAUGCAUGAAAUUGUUGCUAGGAAUAGCAAAACUCCCAAGAUUAUGAGCCAUAGUAACUUUUUGGUUUUUUCAACUAAAAAGACUUGCAAAAAAAUAAGACUUAAACUAAAACUAAAAAUUUGAAAAACAAAAACUAAAAAUUAACUUUAACAAAAAAACUCUAAACACAAAGACUAGGAAUACUAAACUCCUCCUGGGUGUCGGUGCAACAAACCCUGGGUCUGCUGCCCUGACUGUGCACAGGCACGAGAUCAAGAUGGAAGCACCAACCCAAGAUAGAGUACGAGAAAUAAAGAGAUUUGAAGGACCAACAAGAAGAUCGGAGGGACCAAGACCAAGCCAGAGGAGCAAGACAUCAUCAAGAUAAAGACCUCCUUUGCCGGGCAGGCGAGCCCGGCAAGGGACGAGGCCAUCCCCAGAAGAAGGCAACCAAGGUGUCCCGGAAGGGCUUGCCGGGACUUGCGAGGGCUAAAACACCUCACCAACCACUCCACCACGACUCAUGUCAUUGAUCAGUGUGGUUUCAAGUCACAGAGUGAUUAAGUGGCAGCCAUUCGCCACAUGGUGGCCCCUGUCUACCAGAAAACCCACAGAUGACACCCGUCCUAUGAUGUGUUAGACGAGCAGGCAUGAUGCUAGCAAGAUCGCCCGACAAGCCUUGUCGGGCAACCAACAACGUGACGUUAAGCGACGCAUUAAAUGCAACCUGUCAGCGUGCAGAGUUAGGUGUGAUAGCAUUAAAUGCGCCCUGUCCACCACUCCACCAAAGCAGGAGUAGGGUUUUACGCCUCGUGGCGGCCCGAACCUGGGUAAAGUUGCCCGUGUGAUCUCUGUCGUGCUGCCCCAUGUUAGUCUGCUCUUUGUGCAACGUGACGUCCCCCUGCCAAAUCAGCAAAGGGGCCUCCUGGUCCCAUAGGUGGUCGUGGUUUCUCCCGACAUCUUUGGAGCGUCGGGUAGGAGGAGUGCUUGCGCGAACAUGAAGACAUGAGCAGCGCAUCACCUUCGUUGCCAUCUGCAUCUUCGACGACGCCAUCGACCAUGGCGCCCAAGAAGAAACCCGUUUCUUCAGCUCAUCCAUCCACCUCGAAGGCUCCGCCACCCGCGGCCUCCGACGCUACGGGGGGGCGCGGAGACGCGCGAGGACGUGAACACUAUUGGGGACGUGGUUGGAGCAGGCGGCACCGCCGCCACUUCCCCCACAGCCAAUGCAGGAGCAGGAGACACUGGAGGAGAGCAGCAUUAGCAACACCUCCACAGCCACGCUCCGCUCUCCGACGGGCACAGCCACAGUGAUGGCACUCGGUCUAGGGCGAACCUCCGCCCUCCGGCCGCCCCUGUCACAGGUGAGGGAGUCCUGGAUUAGGGGGUAUCCGGACAGCCAGACUAUAUACUUUAGCCGGACUGUUGGACCGAAAAGAUGCAAGACUCAAGACUUCGUCCUGUGUUCGGAUGGGACUCUCCUUUGCGUGGGAGACAAUCUUGGCGAUCCGGAUAUUAGAUUCCCUUCUUUGUAACCGACUCCGUGUAAACCCUAGCCCCCUCCGGUGUCUAUAUAAACCAGAGGGUUUAGUCCGUAUGAGGACGAUCACAACAUUCAUAAUCAUCAUAGGCUAGCUUCUAGGGUUUAGCCUCUAUGAUCUCGUGGUAGAUCAACUCUUGUAACAUCCAUAUCAUCAAUAUCAAUCAAGCAGGAAGUAGGGUUUUACCUCCAUCGAGAGGGCCCGAACCUGGGUAAACAUUGUGUCCCUUGCCUCCUAUUACCAUUAGCCUUAGACGCACAGAUCGGGACCCCCUACCCGAGAUCCGCCGGUUUUGACACCGACAUUGGUGCUUUCAUAGAGAGUUCCUAUGUGUUGUCGCUGCAAGGCUCGAUGGCUCCUUUAAUCGUCAACAACAACACAGUCCAGGGUGAGACUUUUCUCCCCGGACAGAUCUUCGUGUUCGGUGGCUUCGCACUGCCGGCCAAUUCGCUUAGCCAUCUGGAGCAGAUCGACAGCUAUGCCCCUGGCCAUCAGGUCAGGUCCGGAAACCUAAACUACACAGCUGAUAUCCAUGGAGACUUGAUCUUCAAAGGAUUCCAGCCUAUGCCAGGAGCGCCGGACAGUCACGGUGAGCACGGCUUAGACCUGCUGUUGGACAAUGCUCGGGAUAUCGCCCCUGCAGGAGCCCCGGACCUAAAUCCGAGGGAGAUUGCGUCGCCAGAGGGCAGGUGGAUGGACCCCGCCCCGGAGGCCGUACACCCAUCGGCGGUAGAGACGAACACAGACUUCACCCCCAAAGAAGCCUGUGACACCAGACCCCCGGACUCGUAUCCGGUUGUAGGUUCUAGUCCGCGCACUCCCGAGCCCACCGAAUCCGGGUGGGCUCCGGUAAUGGAGUUCACCACUGCGGAUAUCUUCCAGCACUCGCCCUUUGGUGACGUGCUAAACUCGUUAAAGUCUCUCCCAUUGUCAAGAUACUCUUGGCCGAACUAUGUCCGGCUCGAGCGGGAAGCAGACGACAAAGGAAUUCACUGCCCACCCACCACCCACAUCAUAGCCACUGUCGACAACGUGACAGACAUGCUUGAAUUCAACUCUGAUGACACCGACGGUAUGGACGUCGGCGCAGGGGACGAUUCAGAACCACCGCUCACAGGGCGCUGGACUGCCACCUCAUCAUACGAUAUAUACAUGGUGGAUACGCCUAAGGAGGAAGACGGCAACAAACCGGAGGAUAAAACCCUCGGACAAAAGCCAAAACAACGUCGCAGGCACCGCUCCAAGUCCAGCAAUAGUAAAAAUAGCGAUAGCAGCGCUAGAAAGAUUGACACCACAGUCAACCCCUAAGGCAACAACGACCAUACGGACCCAGCAAUGGAGCAGGAUGAACCAGGUCAUGCCGAACACAGCUCGGAGCAGACGCCCAAUCACAAUGAUCCCGAGGGACGAACUCAUCAAACCGCCCCGGGACAAGAGCACAGUCCGGAUGACGAUGCAUUCAUCAUCCCGGAGACAUGCCUGGAACGAGACAACCUCCACAGAAGGCUUAUGUCCACUGCCAGAAGUCUGAAGAAGCGGAAGCAAAGAUAAAGCCGCACAGGAAACGCUCAAUCGCAGAUGGAAUAAAGUACUAGACACUGAAGAAAAGUACGGCAACGAUCGCCAAACAAAGAGCUAUCCAAAGCGCAAGCUGCUACCAGAAUUCAAUGACGAGGCCGUUCCACCGAAGAACAAUACGGUCAAUAGGCCGAAAAAACCACUUCGAAACCACAAUGGAGCAACUACCGACGACGCACAUGAUUUACGUGAGCUCCUAGAUAAAAAGGCUGGCGCGACCAGGUCCAUCUAUGGAUCUCAGGACACGCCCCGGCACAGGACUAUGGUCACCAAAACGAUCAAACUGAUCGAGUACCAGUCCGGAAUCAGUACCGGACACAUCAACUGCCGACGGCAUGCCAUAACAUGUCCAGAAACAGAGGGGCUGCUCACCCUUUGUGCUUCACCGAAGAGGUACUGGACCACGAAUUUCCACAAGGUUUUAAACCUGUGAACAUAGAGGCAUAUGACAGAACGACAGACCUCGGGGUCUAGAUUGAGGAUUUUAUCCUUCAUAUCCACAUGGCUCGUGGGGACGACCUCCAUGCCAUUAAAUACCUUCCUCUCAAGUUGAAGGGACCAGCUCGGCACUGGUUGAAAAGCCUCCCCGAAAAUUCAAUCGGAAGUUGGGAGGAACUCGAGGACGCUUUUAGGGCAAAUUUUCAAGGGACCUAUGUCCGAUCUCUGGACGCUGAUGAUUUAAGUCACAUAAUUCAAUAGCCCAGAGAGUCCGCCCGCAAGCUUUGGAACAUAUUCCUCACUAAGAAGAAUCAAAUUGUCGAUUGUCCGGAUGCCGAAGCCCUAGCGGCCUUCAAGCAUAGUAUCCGGGGCGAGUGGCUCGCCAGACACCUCGGCCAAGAAAAGUCGAGGACACUAGCAGCCCUAACAAGCCUUAUGACCCGCUUUUGCGCGGGUGAAGACAGUUGGUUGGCCCGUCGAGGCACCAGCGACCCAAGUACAUCCGAAAUAAGGGAUGGUAACCGGAAGCCACGACGCCAUAAAAACAAACGUCAAAACAAGGAAGAAAGUCCGGACAACACAACAGUCAACGCCGGAUUCAUGGGCUCUUGACCCGGUCAACAAAAGAAGCCACUUAAAGCCAUCAAAGAAGGACCAUCCGGCCUGAAUAAAGUCCUGGACAGACUGUGCCAAAUCCAUGGCACCCCCGAGAAACCUGUGAACCACACUCAUAGAGAGUGCUGGGUCUUUAAGCAGGCCGGCAAAUUAAACACCGAACACAGGGAAGGGGAAACACCAAGUGAAGACGAGGAUGAGCCUCGCCAGCAGAACACUGGGGGACAGAAAAAAUUCCCACCAGAAGUAAAAACAGUCAACAUGAUCCACGCGACUCACAUAACCACAAGAAGGUGCGAACGUGCACUCAGAGACGCAUAUGCUAUAGAGCACGUGGCCCCCAAACUUAACCACUGGUCGGCCUGCUCGAUCACUUUCGAUCGCAGGGACUACCCGACUGGUAUGCGGCACGGAGGAUUAGCUGCCUUGGUGCUCGACCCAAUAAUAGACGGAUACCAUCUUACUCACGUCCUCAUGGACGGCGGCGGUAGUCUUAAUCUAAUAUGCCAGGACACUGUCCGUAGGAUGGGGAUAGACCCAUCCAGAAUCAACCAUAGUAACACCACUUUUGAAGGGGUGAUACCAGGCGUCGAAGCCCACUGCAGGGGCUCCCUCGUACUAGAGGUGAUAUUCGGCUCCCCAGGCAACUUCAGAAGCGAAAAACUACUCUUUGCCAUCGCCCCCCUCCAAAGUGGUUAUCAUGCAUUACUGGGGAGAAUGGCCUUUGCUCGCUUCAAUGCAGUACUGCACUACGCCUAGCUUAAACUCAAGAUGCCCGGUCCACGCGGCAUCAUCACCGUUAAUGGAAGUACAGAGCGUUCCUUAUGCAUGGAGGAAUACGCGACGGCUCUAGCAGCCGGACUCUAAGCGGCCUCUAAUACCAGAAAGCAUGAUUGGUCGUUAAGACAACGGACACGGUUAGACGAGUUCGGGAGCCCAGAUCAAUCUGAUCUAGGCGCCACAAAUGUAAUCCCAUAGAGGACACCAGGGGCUAUAGAUAAUUAAUAAAGCCCAAUUCUCAGCCUAACCUUAUUAACAGGCCAAUGUCUAACACUUUUACUAUCCAUUAGUGAUAGCUAACUUUUUGCACGCUUAUGUCAUACUCUUCUCCAUGAGUUUUUCUUUUUACAGACACCACUCGUGCGACACCCUCCAAGGACACGGCACAACGGGGCAAAGGCGCAGAUGUGUAGCAGGGCCACGCUCAAAGGUUUCUCUUUAGAUUAAGCCCCUAUGUAAACCUUCUUUAUUGUCUCUUGUUUCUUACACAUCCCACGGGUACUACACCCACAGAGGAUACUGCCGUUAUUGGCCUUUCGCCACGACAGACUAAUGCACGUACCUGGGAAUACAGGGUUCACAAUAAAGGGCGUUACUCAGCCCAGUAAAGUCUGAAUACCUUCGGGAGUGUUCGGCGUCGCGAGUUUGGCCUUAUAUGCAUCAGCUCCAAAUCAUGUCUUUAGUCAAAUGUUGGGUUUGCCCGGCUCCUGGGUUCGCUGCCUUACAUUCCGUUCUUAUCAGCUAAGGCGGCCAAAGGAGAACUACUGCGAUUGUGCCCUGGUUAUUCCGGAUGAGCACCUCAGUAGAGAAAGCCGAAAAUUGACUGUCAUGAUAUAGCGAGAGACUGUGCAACCACUCGAAGACCUAUCGGAAUCUUUAGGAUCCAUCCGCAUUAACGAAGGACCGUUUCCCGGUCAUGUACACACGCGCCCGUACUCGGAUGCACGCAAAGGUACCAGGGGCUACAUAGUAGCCCCACCGUCAAACUCCUAUGGCUAAGUGAAAGUGUUACAGCUAUAUAGUCUGGUUGCCUAGUUUGACGUGCGAUCACCUCCUUAAUGGACCAAGACAUUGGAUCAAGUGUGAUUACGCAUACUUCUCGCGAACACCCCCGCAUUGUGUGCGUGGGGGCUGAAGCCAACGACUGCUAACUUACAGAUUACACAUACACAUAAAAACGGUCACACGGGAGGCACAAUAAUACUUUCGGGCAAAAAGUAUAAAUUUCUGCUCCAUAAUUAAAAUAACAUUGUUUUUACAAUGAUAUGAUUUGUCACUCGAACAUGACAUUCUUUGAGCACUGAGCCUCUAUUAAACGAGCACCUUCUACUACCUGAUCCAAGUAGUGCUCGGACGGAUCUUGGCCUCCCGCCGGAUUCUGAGUUGCAAUGAUGGUGGCCUCCAUAUCUGUCCAAUAUGCUUUAACGCGGGCAAGGGCCAUCCGUGCACCGUCUAUGCACGCCGACCUCUUCAUGGCAUCAAUCCGCGAUACGGCACCAAGGAAUUGUUGCACUAAACCAAAAUAAAUGUCCGGCUUGGGCCCCUUUGGCCAUAGAUGGUCUAUCACAGACCGCAUUGCAAGUCCGGACAGCCUAUGGAGCUCGGCCACAGCAGCCAUCUUCUCACUCAACGGCAAUGUGCGCGUUGGAGCACUAAAUUGCGACCAGAACAACUUUUCCACUUCAUUAUCUUUUUGAUCCUCGAAAAACUUGGCCGAAUCAGUCGUACUCUUCGCCAAAUCCGCAUACGCGUCUGCCGGACUCCAGCAUCGAUCCAGAGGAGCGUACUUCAGAUCUAAAAACUUCAGCCGCAACAAGUAGGGAUUUCCAGACGUGAUCUCUCCAGCCUGUCGAAGCUCCUCCCGCGUGUCCCUAAUUUCGGACCGCGUCUCCUUGGCCGCAUCAAUUGCCUUCUUCAGGUCAGCCGAAAUAGCCUCAUUUUCUUUUUCAAGAAGCUCAUGCCGAUCGGCAGCAUUUUUCAGCUCCACAACCAUCUCGGCUACUUUGUCUUUGCUUCGGCGACGAGCAGCACGUUCGGCUAUCAAUUCUUCGGCCGCCUUUAGGGCCGCCGCAUCGCUGGCCCGGGCCUGAUCCUUGGCCAGGGCAAGUUCCGCCCUCAGGGCCUCCACGGUAGUAGCUCCAUCUGCAGUACAAACAUAUAACAAUAGCAUUAUGCUCCUCUUAGUUUUUCCUACAAACAAUAAUAAGGAAAGCAGAGUACAUACCCUGUGACUUGUUAAGCCGCUCGUUCACCAGUGUGAUAUCGGCAUCAAUAGCUCCAAUCUGCCUCCUCAGUUUGGCAACUUCAAUGGACCGGUCGGCUGUCGGAUGCGCAUAAAUACAGCGCGGUCGUUAUUUACACAAUAUGAUACUCCAUUUGCCACCUAGGGCGGACAACCAGAGUCUCACAGGAUACUAUCCAUAUGGAGCACACCUAGCGCGUGCGUCACAACCAAAAUAUAUGUAUUUUUUAUUACAUACCUCUAAGCCUCUGAGCAGGCUCGUAAAGGCUUCAUUCAACCCGCUUGUGGCGGAUGAAAUCUUCUUGAGCACCGUGCCCAUUAAUGAAUGGUGCUCCUCCGAAAGAUCAGCUCGCUCUAGAAGUCCCGUCAGUGUGUCCGAACGGGCGCUGAAUUGUGUCGGACCCUUCUUAUCGCCCCCCAUGGGAGCCGAACACUCCGGGCUCAGGGCGGCCGAAGUACUAGCUUCUGGCUUCGGCAGAUCUAGACUCCUCCGUGAUGACACCUCAGGGUCGCCCGCCUCAUGAGGCGGGGAGGUUGGUGGGGUCUCACUCUCCAUCAUCUCCGAAAGGAGAUCCCCCGAAGAUGAACUCUGUCGAGAAGAGAUGCUGGCCGGACUGCAAAAAUAGAUCUUGGUUAUUGUUCUCAGAGAAGGAAGUAGUACAUUCAUAUUUACGGUUAACUUACAGCUCGGUUGAGGGCUGGCUUGUUGGCGGGCAUGGCGCGGUGAGGACACCCUUCGGGGCAGGGCCCCCUAGUGAAGCUCUCUUCCCUUGUCUAGGCACCUCCGUCUCCAAGUCUUCGGAGGCGGCCCUUUUCUUCCCGCGAGGGGAGGAGGCCUUAGAUUCCCCUCCCCGGCUAUCCUCCUUUGGGGAGGUAGCAAUUCCCCUGGUUUGGAUGCGCAAUGCGUGAAGUUCGGCUUCUCUGUUCUUCCCUUCGCUUUCCCCCGAGGGCAUUUUGCUUAGCACACAAUCAAGCAUCUUGGCUAUGGCAGGACUAGGCGAGCCUUCGGGAAGUGGCACCGGACACCUAAUUCUCUCUGCCUUGCUGCGCCAUUCCUGGUCGCGGAGGAUUUUCAGAAUAAUGUUAUGAUAAAUAUAAACAAAGUGUUCAGUUUCUGGGUUACUUACUUGGGUAUCUGGGCGAUUGCAGCUCAGGCCCGCAUCCUCGAUGGUGUCCGGACACUUUGCUUGUGGUCCGAAGAAUAACUUACACAUCCCUUCGAGCGUCAGGCCGAAGAAGUGCAUAAUAGUCUGCGGUCCUUCCGGAUUGAAUUCCCACAUCCGGAGAGGCCGACAUUUGCACGGCAACAUCCGUCGGAUUAGCGUUACCUGAAUUAUGCUGGAAAGGCUAAUAUCCCUCUCAAGAAGCUCCCGGAUACGGCUCUGCAGUGUUGGUACAUCAUUAGCAGGCCCCCAAUCCCGUCCUACAUUGGUCCAUGACGCCAGUUGAGGAGGAGGACCCGAACGGAAGUCGGGGGCAGCCGCCCACUUUGUGCCUCUGGGAGCCGUGACGUAAAACCACCUCCGCUGCCAUAGAUCGGACACCUCUGGGAAGGAGCCCUUUGGCCAUAGGAGCGUCAGCGUUCCUGCUUAUUACACCACCUCCGCACUCUGCGUGUUGCCCCUCAAUCAUCCUCGGCUUCACAUUAAAGGUCUUGGGCCAUAAGCCGAAGUGCGGGGUGACAUGGAGUAAGGCUUCGCACACAACGAUGAACGAUGAGAUUUGAAGCAUGGCGUCCGGACUAGAUCAUGAAAAUCUAGCCCGUAGGAGAACAUGAGCCCUCUCACAAAGGGAUCAAGGGAGAAGCCUAAGCCGCGCAGGAAGUGCAGAACAAAUACAACGCUCUCGUUGGGUUCGGGAGUGGAGAUGACCUGCCCUGGAGCAGGAAGCCUAUGCUUGAUGUCGGCAGUCAGAUAUCCGACCUCCCUAAGCUUCGCAAUGUCCUCUUCUCUGACCGAGGAGGCCACCCACCAGCCUUGAAGAUUGGAUUCGGACAUGAUUGAGGAUCCGAGGUACUUGAGCUGGGGCUCCGGGUGUUAUAACUCGAGAUGCGAAAAGGCGCAAGGGUGGUGGAAAAGAGGGGUAGGCCUCGGCCCCUUUAUAAAGGGGGUGAAUAUCAAGCAUCCUCAGCGUGACCGCUUGGGAGUUGCCUAAAAACACAGAGUCAUACUAACGGGCGUCGUGGGGUUGCGCGCGCCCGUAUUGAUAGAAGAUACCGCGAUAAGGGGAACUCGAUCUCUGCUUUGGCAAGGUGCGCCAAUGAAGCCGCCUCGCAACACGUAUCGAGGCAGACCGAGAAAAACCAGUUCCUAUUGGGUCGGGCCACGAUACAGGAACACGUCCUACAAAAAUUAUCAGCAGAUUACAUUUAUGGAAUAUCGCUCUCUCUACGGCAGUAUGUGAAGAUCGUCUUGCGGAUCCGGGCAUGAUUUAAGUGUUCGAUAAUUACUUUGGAGUAUUCAGAGAUGGAACCCGCCUAGCAAUGCCGAAGACAAACUACGCGCCGGACUCAUCGUCAUUGAAGCCUGGUUCAGGGGCUACUAAGGGAGUCCUGGAUUAGGGGGUAUCCGGACAGCCAGACUAUAUACUUUGGCCAGACUAUUAGACCGAAAAGAUGCAAGACUCAAGACUUCGUCCCGUGUCCGGAUGGGACUCUCCUUUGUGUGGAAGACAAGCUUGGCAAUCCGGAUAUUAGAUUCCCUUCUUUAUAACCGACUUCGUGUAAACCCUAGCCCCCUCCGGUGUCUAUAUAAAAUGGAGGGUUUAGUUCGUAUGAGGAUGAUCACAACAUUCAUAAUCAUCAUAGGAUAGCUUCUAGGGUUUAGCCUCUACGAUCUCGUGGUAGAUCAACUCUUAUAACACCCAUAUCAUCAAUAUCAAUCAAGCAGGAAGUAGGGUUUUACCUCCAUCGAGAGGGCCCGAACCUGGGUAAACAUUGUGUCCCUUGCCUCCUGUUACCAUUAGCCUUAGACGCACAGAUUUGGACCUCCUACCCGAGAUCCGCCGGUUUUGACACCAACAACAAGCGCGACCGCUUUGUGCGCGCUUUCCCCCUGGAGAGUCGACUGAACCGCUACGCCCAAUGGAGCCGCUGGCCCUCGAGGAAGGAGAACAUAUAGAUCAUUGAACUAAUAUCCUUUCAAGCUGAUUAUUUCAGAAAGUUCAAUGGGUGGCAUGGCAUGGACUAGAGAUGUGGACCCCUCAAAAUGCUAAGGACAAAUAUUGGCAAAAGCUCAAGACUCUUCAUUUCUAUUUUAGUGAUCCAACAUCACAUUGAGUCCAUAUGAAAGCCAAUACUAUUAAAAGGGGAUGAGGUGUUGCUUAAUGGUCUACUUGGUCAAAAUGCUUAGUGAUAUGCUCCAAAGCCCUCAACCACUUUCUCAAUUCAGAAUAUGUCCAUAACCUAAAGUCAAACUCGUCCCCACCAAUUUGAUUCAUCCUGCGCCACCAAGUUCACUUGAAAUAGCCAUAGCCAUAAACCCUAAUCAGUUCGGUCUCACCGAUAGGGAUCUCGGUCUCACUAAGAUGGGACUGCAAACUCUCUGUUUUCAUUCGUAACACUUCGGUCUCACCGAAAUGAGCGAUCGGUCCCACUAGUUCGCAGUGCAAACUCUCUGUUUCUCUUUCUUAACAUUUCAUUGUCACCGAAAGGAGCGAUCGGUCCCAUCGAGUUUACCUGACUAACUCUUUGUUUGCUUGUUACUAAAAUCGGUAUCACCGAGUUGAAGUAAUCGGUCAAACCGAGAUCAAGUUUUGCCCUAACCCUAGUGUCGUGGAAUUAACACGUCAGAUGUCCUAGUGAGAGGACUAAGUCAUGGAGCCAUCGCAAUGAGAUUAGCUUAAGGGGGUUAAACCGGAAAAAGGACACGGGGAGUUUAUACUGGUUCGACCCCUUGCGGUGAAUGCAAGAUCUCCGAAACCUGGCGCACCCAAUGGGUUGUUGAUUCGUUUUCUGCUUGAACACAGGCGGCUAGAUCCACAAUUGACAUAGGUUGCUUGCACGUGUGCUUGAAAUUCAUUAUAAACCGGGCUUUUAACUCGGCCCAUGACCCAAUGGAGUUAGCUGGCAAACUUUUCAGCCAAGUGCGAGUUGUUCCAUCCAACAUCAUGGUGAAGUACUUAGCACAUGCCGCUUCAUCUACAUCCAGCAUCUCCAUUGCCAUCUCAUAGCUUUCAACCCAUGACUCGGGGGGUAAAUCUGCAGUGUAAUUAGGUACCUUCCGUGGACCCUUGAAAUCCUUGGGUAACCGCACNNNNNNNNNNNNNNNNNNNNNNNNNNNNNNNNNNNNNNNNNNNNNNNNNNNNNNNNNNNNNNNNNNNNNNNNNNNNNNNNNNNNNNNNNNNNNNNNNNNNNNNNNNNNNNNNNNNNNNNNNNNNNNNNNNNNNNNNNNNNNNNNNNNNNNNNNNNNNNNNNNNNNNNNNNNNNNNNNNNNNNNNNNNNNNNNNNNNNNNNNNNNNNNNNNNNNNNNNNNNNNNNNNNNNNNNNNNNNNNNNNNNNNNNNNNNNNNNNNNNNNNNNNNNNNNNNNNNNNNNNNNNNNNNNNAAGUCAUCGGACGAACCGGAGUGAGCUGAUGGUCCACGUGUUGUGCUGCUAACUCGGCUUCUCGACGCGCUCUGCCGUUAUCCACCACAUCCUGAGCAUUUGCACCACCGCCCGCCGGGUUAGGCCUCCGAGGGCAUUACGGUUCCGCUCGCUGCUCAACACAGAAGGUUCGUCAAUGUGCCUGCUGUAACUCCGGCUCGGGCGUGGGGUUGAAUGAAUAAGCCUGUUAAUGAACCAUAUCCGUUUGAAGGAGAUCCCUAGCCCAUCGUGUCUCAACCGCCACUGUAGAGUCGCCGUCCAUCGGAAUAGCUUCCAAUCGUGAUGUCGCAGCAAUCAUGUUAUCCAACGGGGUUGGGAAGUGACCCGGCGGUGUUGGCAUGUACUGAGGUGGGUCAUGAUUUCGUCGAGGCGGGUCUGUUGUCUGUGGCUGAUCCGGCGCUCCUGUCCCAGGUGCUUCAACCCAGUUUACCGCUACCGGGUUACUAGUUCCUGCUCCUGGCGUGCUGAAGAGAUUCCUUGCCUCAUAAACCGUCGGUAGACAAGAUUGGUGCCUCCUCCUCAUCACGUCGUUUGAAGCGUUCUGAUCCAACAUGAGCCGGUAAUUUUCUGCUUGAAUCUGCUGCGCCUGAGCAUCUAAAGCGGCCCGCUCAUCAGCCAUCCUGGUUUCCUCAGCCGCCAAGUCCUCUUUAGCCUGAGUUAUCUGAUCUUGCAGCUUUGUGACCUCUGCGUUAUGCUGAUCUUCAGUCUCCAGGGUAACCUCCGUGGUCAACAGUGUCAUCCAAGAGUCCAAUAAACCAGACAUAACUUGAGCCGGCUGGCGCGCGGGGCCUCCUGCCCCGGCUGCCGAUCCGGAAAUCAUCGCCGCUGCAAUUGAAGAUUGCAACAUGGGUUGUUUACAGGCCAUGAAGAUCGUAACCUGGUUCAGCGGUUCAAGGGGGUCCGGAAUACUGUCGCCAUCGGAACAGCCCCCAAACCGGCCAUCUUAUAGUUGGUACAGUGACUCGGUCUCACCGGUGGAUGAUUCACCAUUAGAAUAAACGACCAUCUCAGCAUCGGACACCGGUUCAGACUCUGCACCAUUGAUGAAUCCUACGAACGCACGCUUCAUGGCGGGCUGAACCCGGGCAGGGCUUGCACACUGAGCCGUCUCGACGAGGUCGGUGUAGAUAUCCGGCUCAGGGCCCGCUUCGCCGAUUUUGCCGAUGAAGACAUGAAUUCUUCCAAAGGGGACCCGGUACCCGUACUUGAUUGAGCCGGCCUCGGGGCCCCAGUCUACGUCGUUGAUGUAGAGCUUGCCGCGACGACUCUUAGUCAUCUGCCCCCUGGCGUAUCCCUUGAGUCCUUCAAAGUUUCCCUUUAAGAACUCAAAACCAUCGUGCGAUAGCUCCACGGUGGGCGCCAACUAUCGUGGAAUUAACACGUCAGAUGUCCUAGUGAGAGGACUUCGUCGUGGAGCCAUUGCAACUAGAUUAGCUUAAAGGGGUUAAACUGGACAAAGGACAUGGAGAGUUUAUACUGGUUUGACCCCUUGCGGUGAAGGUAAAAGCCUACGAUCCAGUUGUGGUGGAAUUGAUGGGUUCUCGAUGAUCAGGGAGCGAAUCCGCUUUACCUGGCUCUCGAGUUGUUGUUUCUUGUCCCUGAACCGUCGCCGGGUCGUCCCUUUAUAUACACAGGUUGAUGCCCGGCGGUUUACAGAAUCCCGAGGCCGGCUCAUACAUGUGUCCGGUUUGGUUUCUACCUUUUCCUAUCUUACAAUACAAGUUACAUAUCUCAUGGCGGUUUACGUCUAUAGGCCCUAAUCCGCCCUUGGGCUCUGGCCUUUAAGUCUCCGUAGUAAAGCGCCAUACUCCUUGUCUUCAUGGGCUUCAAUACGGAUGAUUCCUUGUGAGUAUAACUCGGUCCCUCCUGGUCGGUUUAUACUCAGUAGUUAUAUCCCCAACAUUAGUUCCCAGAUUGAUUUGAACCUGUUCAUGUCAAUCUUCAAUAAUUAGAAAAAAAAAUCAUUUUGAACAUCUUCGUGUCAACCUUGUAAACCACCAUGACAUCAUCUUCAUGUGAACUUUUUAAACCGCCGUGACAUCAUCUUCCGAGAUCGUAAUAAAUCGCCAUCACGUCACCUACUUAUUAAAAUCUAUCUAUAAAUACUUCCCUUUAUUAAUGAACCUCCGAAGACCGAGGCGACAGCUGUGUCACAUAUCCAUUUUUCGGGUUCCUCGAUUCCCGUGCAUGUCACUUAUCCAUUCACCUUAUAAAUAGGACCAGGGGUCAUUUUUUUCCUUUUUUCCUUUCAUGCCUCUUCUCUUCGUCGUCUUCCUCGCGUCACCUCAGUACUCGAGCGUAGCCGCCGCCGUCGACUUUCACCUCUGCUCCAACAAUGGCCGCUGCAUCAACCUGUUUUGAUUACAGAAACGCGGUGCCUCACCGCUACUCCUUCAACCUCUGUAAGUUUUCUUUCCCUUUUCCCCAGAUCUACUGCUAGGGUUUCGGUGUUCUUUGGUGUUCGUCAGUGUUCUUCACUUGUACCUUGCUACCACAUUAGAACUUGAUAAACUUGAUAUUCUCCCUGUGCGGUCGUAGCUACAGUCCAUUUUUUCUUAUCAUAGCAUCCCUUCUUUAGUAAACAGAUCCCAUCUGGUUUUUAGCUGUUCCGCUGUCACAUUUUGGGGCUUUGGAAUUUUCUCCUUUUUAGAACUGUGGUAGAUCCAAAAUCAUAAUACCAACCUGUGAAACCUGUUUGUGCAAUACUUAGGAAUUUUUUCAGAUCUUUAACUUCCACACCAUUGUAGGCGGUUUAACCUUUAGAAAAUGAUAAUCCGCCAGGUACCAUUAGCCCUCUCUUAAACCGCCAACUCGACCUUAAUGUCAGAAUCCGGUUUAUCUUGUACAUAUGUUUCGAUAACUCCUUCCCCCAGCCUGAUGCCGGUUUAUGCAUAUUAGUCAUCAAUCGUAAACCGGCUUUAAUCCUUUUUUCCAGCUUGUCAUCGAAAUGUCCAAACAGUUCUAUGCUUGCAAUUGGGUCCCUUCCCGGGUUACUGAAGAGCAACUGUCUGGGUACGUUUUAACUGGCGCUUUAGCGAGCCAAGAAACCAUCCACUGGAGGGUCCCCGGUCCAGAAAAUCCUCCUGAGCCCCAGAAUGGAGAAGUGAUUGUGUUUACUGAUCAUCUAAAUCGAGGGUUCAGUCCUCCCAGAUCAAAAUUCUUCCGUGAUGUGCUUGCUAGCUUCCAGAUCCGCCCUCAAGAUAUUGGACCAAACUCCGUGUCCAAUAUUUGCAAUUUUCAAGUAUUUUGUGAAGUCUAUCUGCAAGAGGAACCCACUUUGGAGCUAUUCCGGGACUUCUUUUACUUCAACCGCCGUACUGAAUUUACGGACGGGCCCAACACUGAACUUGGCGGCGUUUCAAUCCAGAAGAGAAAGGAUGUUGACUUUCCUCACGCCAAACAUCAUAGCCACCCCAAGGACUGGAAUCAGACUUGGUUUUACUACCGCAACACAGCUCCGGAUGACAAAAAUCCUCUGCCGGGUUAUCGUGCGUACCGGCUUACCAAAACUCAUCCGGUUCCUCAACGAUUAACUGCCAAGGAACGGUCAAAAUAUGCCCCUCGGCUAUCAAUACUCAGAGCUUUUGUUGCAAACGGUCUGACAGGCGUUGAUUUCGUUCGAUGUUGGGUUUCUUGGAGUAUUCUGCCUUUAAGCCGGCGCCUCGAUUUAAUGUGUGAAUACACAGGGGAUCUGAAAGACCCUCAGCGUCAUAUUGACAUCCAGCUCACUGAUGAUGAAGUCACCGAAGCUGUCAAGAAAAUGCUUGAUGAACCGGUGGCUGCAUGUAGCAGAGUAGGGCUUAGUCCCUUCUGUGCGUCCAACAAACCGCCAGCUGUAAGAAUGGCCUCAUUUUUGUCUUAAUCCGUCCCCUUUUAAAAACUCCUUUACAAUUCUUUGUCCAUCUGUGCAAGGUGGUGAUCCGUUCUGGAAGAAGAAAUCAUAAGAUAAACCGGCAAAGCCGCAGGAUAAACCGACGAGAGCGCCUCGCGUCAAGACCAGGGUUACAAAGAGGCCAGCAAAGAAGAAAACCACCGAGGCCUCUGACCUGCCCAAGGAUGAAGAGAUUGAUGACCUGGAGUCAGAGGUAGAACUUGACUCUCUUGGUUCUUUUUUCAUACAUCUCAUUGACAAUGAUUAUUAUCAGGAUGAUGCGGAAGCUAGCCGCGCUAGUGACGCAGAGGUAAUUGUUCUAUCUUCUGACUCAAAUCAUGUGCCAGUACAAAAACUCCAUCGAGCAGUCCCAAAAGUAAAAUAUUCACACCCUCUUGCUUAUUCAGAUCCGCACUUUUCUUUGAAGACACAGCAGCAUGAAGCUCGUCGCACAACUCGGCAUAGCGGCCAACUAGUGACCUCCUCCAGUUUAUCGAACUCUCCAGUUCGAAAAUGCUGCCAAGAGGUUUCUUAUAUUCCUGACACACUUUAUCCUAAAGCGGGUCACUUCCAAUAUCCUCUUAAUCCAUCUGAUUCAAAUUAUCAAGGAACCUCCCAUUCAUCAUCCGGCUGGUCAUCAGCCACACAAAUGCCUCCACUCAAGACUGUUCCUGGGUAAGUAUAUUAUACUUAACCCUUUAUGCCUUGUACUGGUUUAUUGUACUAACCUCUGCAUCUGUUCUUUUUAGUGCCAAAGCCAGACUUAGCAAGAAAGCCAAACUGACUAAACCAACUGAUGAUAAUUCGGCCACUAAACUGGAGAAGACCUCAGAGGCUCUUGAUCAGAAUGCAGAUAUUAUCCUGGAUGAUCCGGUACCUCAGGCUCAGGACACUUUUGCUGAACCGAGAGAGAUAAAUUCGACAAACAACCCAGUCUGCUGAUUUGCCAAGCCCAUAUGCCGAUCCGCAAAGCUCGGCAAGAUCAUCUGAUAAACCGCCAAGCCCAGCCAAAAUUGUUGAUGGCACCACAGAUGAUGUUGUGAUUACCGGUUCUGGUCAUACUGCUCCUCGCAACCCUGUCGCUUUAUCAAAGCACAGUGCCAAGGAAGAAUUUUCUGCUGUGGACAAGGGCAAAUCAAAAACAUAUUUAUCCAGCUAUGCUCACCUCAAUGCUCAGGACAUCCACUCUGGAUAUUUAAACCGUCUAUAUACAAGCCGUGAUUAUGAAGCCCGUUUAGUAGGUCUGAUGAAAGAGCGAUAUGACGUAAAUAUCCAUUCCUUUUGCACAAAUUUUAUUUCCUUAUAACUGGCUUAGAAUAUCAACUCCAGUAGCCCCCAAGGGCCAGUUCAUAAAAUUAUUGUGAAGCAGGACUUGUAGUAGAAUAAUAUUGAAUUUCUGCUGGCGUAGCCCCCAAGUGCCAAGGAUAGAACUUGUUGUGUGCUUGGGACUUGAAAUGUCAGUUGAUAAAAAGCAAUCUGCAUUAGCCCCCAAGUGCCAAGUGUAUAACUUGUUAUGUGCUUGGGACUUCAAAGAUGCACUACCAACUCAUUAACUGUCUGUUGCAGGCUGAUCUGAACAAGAAGGAAACUCAAAUCGCUGACCUUCAAGAAAAUAUUAAGUCCCAUCCAGCAGAAACCUCCAAGGUGAAGGAAGAGUUGACCGGCGCUUUAUUAGCCAUGGAACAAUUGAAGGAUGGUUUUAAAAGCGAACCGGCCAAAUGGGAUGUUGAAAGGACAACUCUGAUAAAGCGGGCAGAAGAUGCUGAAGCGGCUUUUAAACCGGUGAUCGAAGAGCUGACUGGUCUAAAGCGGCAAAUCAACGCUAUGACUUCUGUUGUCUUUGGUAAAUACCCUUUUCAUGAGCUAUACUUAAACAUCCUUGAAACUGUCAGUUUAAUAACAAUAUUUUAAUCAUUGCAGGGAGUCGCGCUACUCAUCUUGGCUCAGAUAUGCGCAAGAAACUGAAGGCUGCCUAUACAUUGAUAGAGCAUUUAUAUACCGGCACUCAACGGGUCAUCUGCACAGCCUCAUACAAUAAACCGCCCCCAACUUUUAUCAAAGAAACAUUGGCAAAGUUAUCCAUGACACCUGCCCAGCUUGAGGAAGUGAAGAGAUCAUCUGCAAGAGUCGGUGCUCUGUCUGCAUUAACUCGGGCAAAGCCUGGAUAUCUGAUCUUGAUCCGGAAGACAUUGGAAAUGGCUAUCCCAGCCAAAAAGAAGAUGGUUCAGACUUUGAUAAUGAUGCCCUCAGGGCUUUGACGAAGGAAAUGCAUCCACUUGCAAGAAAACUAGCUAAAGAGACUGAUUUGCCUUUCCACCGGUCGAUUUAUGACGCAGAUAACAAACGGAUUGAUGCAUCUGUUUAUGAAGUGCAAAAUCUUAUCCCGCCAAUCCGUAAGCAUACUUAUGCCCCUGAUGUCGAACCAUCCACCCUUAUAAGUGAUGAAGUCGUCUUCCAAGCCUUAACUGGGAUUGACUGGGCAACUAUUGAGUUCCAGCCACUGGGUGGAGAGGAGGAGGGUGAACCGGCGCAGGACGAUCCACAAUCUUCAAAUCAGCAUGCGGAAGAAUCAUGAUCCGGCGGCCGGUUUAUCGUAUGCACACUGUCAUCCUUGUGAAAAACAAUUAUUCUUUUGGGCCAUCAAAGCGCCUUGUAAUAGGCUAGUUUGAACACUUGGUCUGCUAUGCCAUCGUGUAUAGUCACUUUGCAUAACACUGUUAAUCCGUCAUGGUUAUGCUUGUGAUCCUUAGCAUCUUUAUGCAAUCCUGUUUCUGCAUAUAAUAAACUGAAAAUUUUCAUAACACCCAAUAUAAAGCCAGGGUUUAUAACCAAGGCUGCAAGGAUAAUAAAAUAUGAAAUAUAUCAUACAUGUGAUAUUGAAUCACAUCAUUGGUUUACCAACUUUCUUGUAGUAAGGGUGAUAACCCAAAUCUGGAGCGCUGAUAACCCCCACCAUGCUUUGCUGGUUUAUAAUGAAGCCAUGUCGGGUUAUAUUAAACACCGGAUGAUCAUCCUGGAGACUUAUAGUCAAAGCCAGGUCGGGUUAACAAACACCGGUUUAUAAUUGGUUGUGUACUAACAACAUAUAGUUGAAAGCCACGCCGGGUUAACAAACACCGGGUUAUAUUGAUGACUUAUAGUCAGGUCGGGUCAACAGCUGCCGGUUUAUCACAAAACCUCAUCAAAGAAGAAAAGACUUUGACAAAUAAAAGCAAAUGAAAACUUGUAGGAGAGGCUUUUCAAGGGCUGCCAGGCCCAAAUUCGAGGCUUUUCAUCGGCUGCCAGGCCACUAAGUUAAACCAUUUUACAAAGCCUUUUAAGAUGGACCUCACAUUAACCAAUCGUCGUUUUAACUUUGACAAGUUCAGGGUCUGUAUAAGGUUGACUUGUCAAACAUUCGGCGGGUCAUACCAGGAUUACCUGGACGGAGUGGCUUACUUGAUGAAGGCAGGUUAACUCAGGGUUUUAGGUGAAUACACCUGGCUUCCAAGCCUGGCUUGAUAGCCUGUUACAAGGUUUAAGACGCUUUGUUGCUUGGCAAGCAAAGAGCCCCCAGGUAACAUUUUGAGUUGUGCUCAGUGGGCGCCUAUGUUUGAGCUGUGCUUUGCAACAAACUCUCUUUGGCUCCUUAUAAUUUUGGGUAUGAAGCCCCCAAGCUUUUUGCUUUAUAAGCCGAAUUAAUGGACAAAUAGGGCUCCGCUUUAUAAACAGAAGCCUCCAUGUAACCAAGAAACCUUUUGAAGAAUGGCAGAGGCCCCGCUUUAGCAAGGAUGCCGGUUUAUUAUAUUGAUCAUAAUAUAUACAUUGUCAAAAAUAUGUACAUAAUCGGAGCCUAUGGCUCAGUUGUAGUAAGGCCGAAGAUGAGCGAUAUUCCACGGCCGGCGAGUCUCCUCCUCCGACUUGCGUGAGUCUUUGUGCUCUCGAACAUCGAUAAGGUAGUAUGACCCAUUGUUCAAAUUCUUGCUGACCACAAAGGGCCCUUCCCAAGGUGGGGAUAACUUGUGCAUGUCAGUCUGAUCUUGGAUAAGCCGGAGCACUAAGUCACCUUCUUGAAAAGCUCUGGUUUUAACCCGGCGGAUGUGAUAAUGUCGCAGGUCUUGCUGAUAAAUCACCGAACAAGCUGCCGCUAUGUCCCAUUUUUCAUCUAACAGGUCCAAUGCAUCUUGGUGUGCUCUUUCAUUGUCCAUUUCAACAUAAGCUGCCACUCGGGGCAAGUCAUGGAGAAUAUCACUUGGGAGAACUGCAUCUGCCCCAUAAACCAUGAAGAAAGGUGUAUAACCCGUAGAUCUAUUGGGGGUGGUAUUAAUGCUCCAUAACACAGAAGGCAACUCUUCCACCCAACAACCCGGCGUCCUCUGGAAAGGGACCAUAAGUCAGGGCUUGAUACCUUUUAGAAUUUCUUGAUUAGCUCUCUCCACUUGACCAUUGGACUGGGGGUGAGCCACUGAUGGCACAUCAAGCGGGAUGUGCUCACGCUGACAGAACUCUUCCAUAGCACCCUUGGAUAGGUUAGUGCCAUUAUCUGUUAUAAUGUUAUGUGGAAAACCAAAGCGGAAAAUCACCUUCUUCAUGAAUUGAACCGCCGUGGCUGCAUCACACUUGCUGACUGGCUCUCCCUCCACCCACUUGGUGAACUUAUCAACCGCCACCAAAAGGUGGGUCUUCUUAUCCUUAGACCUCUUAAAGGGCCCAACCAUAUCCAGCCCCCAAGUUGUAAACAGCCAGGUAAUUGGAAUCAUCCUCAAUUCCUGGGCCGGAACAUGGGCUCAGCGUGAAAAUUUCUGACAACCAUCACACCUCCUGACCAGAUCCUCAGCAUCAGCAUGAGCUGUUAACCAGUAAAAACCAUGUCGGAAAGCCUUAGCCAUGAGGGAUUUUGAACUCGCAUGAUGACCAAAAUCCCCUUCGUGGACUUCACGCAACAUCUCACAGCCUUCUUCAGGAAAAACACAGCGCUGAAACGCCCCCGAGACACUGCGGUGAUGUAACUUGCCAUUAACAAUAGUCAUGGACUUGGACCGCCGGAUUAUCUGUCUGGCCAAAACUUCGUCCUUAGGUAACUCGCCCCGAGUCAUGUACGCCAAGUAGGGCACCGUCCAAUUGGGGAUAACAUGAAGAACCGCCACCAAUUGGGCUUCCGGGUCAGGGAUAGCCAUAUCCUCCUCCGUUGGUAUUUUGACCGACAGAUUAUGCAACACGUCAAUAAAAACAUUGGGCGGCACCGGUUUACGCUGAGAUCCGAGUCGGCUUAAAGCGUCCGCUGCCUCAUUCUUGCUCCAAUCGAUGUGUUCGACCUGAUAACCCUUGAAGUGACCAGCAAUGACAUCUAUCUCACGCCGAUAAGCCGCCAUGAGUGGAUCCUUAGAGUCCCAAGUACCAGAGACUUGCUGGGCCACCAAAUCGGAGUCCCCAAAGCAUCAUACCCGGAUUAGGCUCAUCUCCUUAGCCAUCCGAACACCAUGGAGCAAGGCCUCAUACUCAGUUGCAUUGUUAGUACAAGGAAACAUCAAGCGGAGAACAUAACAAAAAAAUUCACCUCGAGGGGAAGUAAGAACGACUCCAGCCCCUGAGCCCUCCAAUUGUCUAGAUCCGUUGAAGUGAAUAGUCCAGUAUGUGUUAUCCGGUUUAUCCUCUGGCACAUGCAACUCUGUCCAGUCAUUGAUGAAAUCCACAAGUGACUGGGACUUAAUGGUCGUACGAGGCAUAUAUUUUACCCCGUGAGGUCCAAGCUCGAUAGCCCACUUAGCAACCCGGCCAGUAGCUUCCCUGUUCUGGAUGAUAUCCCCCAAAGGAGCCGAACUGACCAUAGUGAUGGGAUGACCCUGAAAGUACUGCUUGAGUUUCCGGUUAGCCAUGAACACCCCAUACACCAGUUUCUGCCAAUGUGGGUACCUUUGUUUGGACUCAAUAAGCACCUCACUAAUAUAAUAAACCGGCCACUGAACCGGAUACUCCUUACCUGCCUCCUUGCGCUCCACCACAAUAGCCACGCUGACAGCCCGGGCAUUAGCAGCCACAUAUAAUAGCAAUGGUUCCUUGUCAAUGGGGGCAGCAAGAACAGGCGGUUUGGCCAACUGCUUCUUCAGAUCCUCAAACGCCGCAUUAGCAGCAUCACUCCAGACAAAGUUGUCUGUCUUUUUCAUCAGCUGAUAUAGAGGAAUAGCCUUCUCUCCCAACCAGUCAAUAAACCGGCUCAGUGCCGCAAUACGACCCGCCAGACGUUGAACAUCGUUGAUACACGCCGGUUUAGCUAGUGAGGUAAUAGCUUUGAUCUUCUCUGGAGUAGAUUCAAUGCCCCUGUUAGACACCAGAAGACCUAAAAGCUUGCCUACAGGAACACUGAAGACACACUUGGCCGGGUUAAGCAUCAUUUUAUAAACCCGGAGGUUAUCAAAGGUUUCCUUCAGAUCAUCUAUUAAUGUCUCCUUCUUCCUGGACUUCACCACAAUAUCGUCCACAUAAGCAUGAACAUUGCGCCCGAUCUAAUCAUGAAGACAAUUCUACACACACCGCUGAUAAGUCGCCUAGGCACUCUUGAGCCCAAAAGGCAUAGAUACAUAGCAGAAGGCUCCAAAGGGAGUUAUAAAAGUUGUCUUCUCCUGGUCCUUAACUGCCAUCUUGAUCUGAUGAUAACCAGAAUAAGCAUCUAAAAAGCUCAAGCGCUCACAACUCGUCAUAGCAUCAAUGAUUUGAUCAAUCCGAGGGAGAGCAAAAGGGUCAGCUGGACAAGCCUUGUUCAAAUCCGUGUAGUCCACACACAUGCGCUAAGUGCCAUUUUUCUUAAGCACCAGCACCGGAUUAGCCAGCCACUCUGGAUGAAACACUUCAAUGAUAAACCCUGCUGCCAAGAGAUGGACUACCUCCUCACCGAUGGCUUUGCGCCUUUCUUCAUUGAAGUGGCGAAGAAAUUGCUUGACCGGUUUAAACUUGGGAUAAAUAUUGAGAGUGUGCUCAGCGAGUUUCCUCGGUACACCCAGCAUGUCAGACGGUUUCCAUGCGAAGAUGUCCCGGUUCUCACGGAUGAACUCGAUGAGCGCGCCUUCCUAUUUCGGAUCCAGGUUAGUGCUGAUACUAAACUGCUUGGAUGAAUCGCCAGGAACAAAGUCAACCAGCUUAGUCUCAUUAGCUGAUUUAAACUUCAGGGGCGGAUCAUGCUCUGUAGCUGGCUUCUUCAAAGAGGUCAUAUCCGCCGGAUCAACCCUGUCCUUGUAGAACUUCAACUCUUCUACUGCACAAACCAAUUCAGCAUAGGCUGCAUCACCUUCUUCACACUCCAAAGCAACCUUUCAGCUUCCAUGUACUGUGAUGGUCCCCUUAUGACCCGGCAUCUUGAUUUGUAGAUAAACAUAACAGGGCCUUGCCAUGAACUUAGCAUAAGCCGGCCGUCCAAACAUGGCAUGAUACGGGCUCUGAAUUUUCACCACUUCAAAGGUCAAUGUAUCUAAUCUCGAAUCAUGAUCGUCUCCAAAAGCAACCUCCAGAGCUAUCUUACUGGCUAGAUAAGCUGAUUUGCCCGGUACCACGCGAUGGAAAAUGGUGUUCGACGGUUUAAGAUUCUUGUCUGUCAACCCCAUACGACGGAAGGUCUCAUAAUACAAGAUGUUGAUACUGCUCCCUCCGUCCAUGAGCACCUUCGUAAACUUGUAACCUCCAACCUAAGGCGCCACCACCAACGCCAGAUGGCCCGGAUUGUCAAACCAGGGUGGAUGAUCCUAUCUGCUCCACACAAUGGGUUGUUCGGACCAGUGCAAGUAACGGGGUACCGCCGAUUCAACAGAGUUCACUGCCCUUUUAUGAAGCUUCUGAUCGCGCUUGCACGGGCUAGUGGUGAAGACAUGAUACUGCCCACUAUUCAAUUGCUUCGGGUGGCUCUAGUAACCCGACUGUUGCUGUUGCUGACCUCCCUGUUGAUUAUAACCACCCUGGCUGCCUUGAUUGCCUUGUCCACCUUGAUUACCUUGAAACCAUGAACCGGAAUUGCCUCCACCAUAACCCGGCCCAUGAGACCCGGGUCCUGAACCACCGGGCGGUCCAUGAUCAUAUCGUAAGAGAUCCAAGUUUUUGAAGUCCCUCGUAAUAAAACAAUCCUUCCAGAGGUGUGUAGCUGGCUUUUCUUUCAUCCCAUGCUUUGGGCAAGGCUGAUUUCACAGACGCUCAAGAUUGCCACCUGGUCCUCCACUCCUCGGGGCCGGUCUAUUCUUGCGACGCGGGCCAUUAUCCUACACAUUGGUGUUAGCCACAAAAUCUGAAUUAUUGUCCACUUUACACUUACCAUUGUUUCCAUGACCCGCCGGGUUAUGCUGCUGCCCUUUGCUGUUGCCGCUCUUCUUUCCCUUUCCUGGCUUUUCAUCCUCAGACUCGGGGUCCUUGAUACUAUCAGAAUCGGCAUACUUAACCAGAGCUGCCAUAAGUGUUCCCACGUCAUUGCAGUGAUGCUUGAGUCGUCCCAAUUUCAACUUUAGAGGUUUAAACCGGCAAUUGCCCUCCAACGUUAUAACUGCAGAAUCGACAUUGAUGCGGUCCAAUGAAUGCAAGAACUCCGAAACCUGGCGCACCCAAUGGGUUGUCGAUUCGUUUUCUUCUUGAACACAGGUGGCUAGAUCCACAAUUGACAUAGGUUGCUUGCACGUGUCCUUGAAAUUCAUUAUAAACCGGGCUUUUAACUCGGCCCAUGACCCAAUGGAGUUAGCUGGCAAACUUUUCAGCCAAGUGCGAGCUGUUUCAUCCAACAUCAUGGUGAAGUACUUAGCACAUGCCGCUUCAUCUACAUCCAGCACCUCCAUUGCCAUCUCAUAGCUUUCAACCCAUGACUCGGGGGGUAAAUCUGCAGUGUAAUUGGGUACCUUCCGCGGACCCUUGAAAUCCUUGGGUAACCGCACAUUACGUAGAUCCGGAGUAAGACCUGGCACCCCCCAAGAGCUGAAAGUAACACCUCGUUCCACUGAAGUCGUCGGACGAACCGGAGUGAGCUGACGGUCCACGUGCUGCGCUGCUAACUCGGCUUCUCGACGUGCUCUGUCGUUGUCCACCACAUCUUGAGCAUUUGCACCACCGCCCGCCGGGUUAGGCCUCCGAGGGGCAUUACGGUUCCGCUCGCUGCUCAACACAGCCGGUUCAUCAAUGUGCCUAUUGUAACUCCGGCUCGGGCGUGGGUUUGAAUGAAUUCUGUCUCGACUAUAUGAAUAAGCCUAUUGUUGAACCAUAGCCGUUUGAAGGAGAUCCCUGGCCCGUCGUGUCUCAACCGCCACCAGAGAGUCGUCGUCCAUCGGAAUAGCUGCCAAUCGUGACACCGCAGCGAUCAUGUUAUCCAACAGGGUUGGGAAGUGACCCGGCGGGUUGGCAUGUACUGAGGCGGGUCAUGAUUUCGUCGAGGCGGGUCUGUUGUUCGUGGCUGAUCCGACGCUCCUGUCCCAGGUGCUUCAAACCAGUUUACCGCUGCCAGGUUACUGGUUUCUGCUCCUGGCAUGCUGAAGAGAUUCCUUGCCUCAUAAACCGUCGGUAGACGAGAUUGGUGCCUCCUCCUCAUCACGUCGUUUUAAGUGUUCUAAUCCAACAUGAGCCGGUAAUUUUCUGCUUGAAUCCGCUGCGCCUGAGCAUCUAAAGCGGCCCGCUCAUCAGCCAUCCUGGUUUCCUCAGCCGCCAAGUCCUCUUUGGCCUGAGUUAUCUGAUCUCACAACUUUGUGACCUCUGGGUUAUGAUGAUCUUGAGUCUCCGGGGUAACCUCCAUGGUCAACAGUGUCGUCCAGGUGUCCAAUAAACCAGACAGAACUUGAGUCGGCCAGCGCGCGGGGCCUCCUGUACCGGAUGCCGAUCCGGAAAUCAUCGCUGCUGCAGUUGAAGAUUGCAACAUGGGCUGUGUACCGGCCAUGAAGAUCGCAACCCGGUUCGGCGGUUCAAGAGGGUCCGGAAUAUUGUCGCCAUCGGAACAGCCCCCAAACCGGCCAUCUUAUAGUUGGUACAGUGACUCGGUCUCACCGGUGGAUGAUUCGCCAUCAGAAUAAACGACCGUCUCACCGUCUGACACCGGUUCAGACUCUGCACCAUUGAUGAAUCCUAUGAAUGCACGCUUCAUGGUGGGCUGAACCCGGGCAGGGCUUGCACGCUGAGCCAUCUCGACGAGGUUGGUGCAGAUGUCCGGCUCAGGGCCCGGUUCGCCGAUUUUGCCGAUGAAGACGUGAAUUCUUCCAAAGGGGACCCGGUACCCGUACUCGAUUGAGCCGGCCUCGGGGCCCCAGCCUGCAUCAUCGAUGUAGAGCUUGCCGUGACGACUCUUAGUCAUCCGGCCCAUGGUGUUUCCCUUGAGUCCUUCAAAGUUGCCCUUUAAGAACUCGAAACCAUCGUGUGAUAGCCCCACGGUGGGUGCCAACUGUCGUGGAAUUAACACGUCAGAUGUCCUAGUGAGAGGACUUAGUCGUGGAGCAAUCACAACGAGAUUAGCUUAAAGGGGUUAAACUGGACAAAGGACACAUGGAGUUUAUACUGAUUUGGCCCCUUGCGGUGAAGGUAAAAGCCUACGAUGCAGUUAUGGUGGAAUUGAUGGGGUCUCGAUGAUCAGGGAGCGAGUCCGCUUUACCUCGCUCUCGAGUUGUUGUUUCUUGUCCCUGAACCAUCGUCGGGUCGUCCCUUUAUAUACCCAGGUUGAUGCCCGGCGGUUUACAGAAUACCGAGGCCGGAUCAUACAUGUCUCCGGCUCGGUUUCUACCUUUUCCUAUCUUACAAUACAAGUUACAUAUCUCAUGGCGGUUUACGUCUAUGGGCCCUAAUCCGCCCUUGGGCUCUGGGCCUUUAAGUCUCUGUAGUAAAGCGCCAUACUCCUUGUCUUCAGGGGCUUCAAUACGGAUGAUUCCUUGUGAGUAUAACCCGGCCCCUCCUGGGCGGUUUAUACUCAGUAGUUAUAUCCCCAACACCUAGCACAUCGGUCCCACUGAGUUGAUCAUGUCGGUCCCACCGAAAAUCCUAAUGUUCACAUUUUGAACUGAAUCGGUCUAACCGAGUUCACCUAUUCAGUCUGACCGAGUUGACUCUUUUGUGUGUAAUGGUUAGAUUUUGUGUGGAGGCUAUAUAACCCCUCCACCCUCCUCUCCAUCAGUGAGAGAGCCAUCAGAACAUGCCUACACUUCCAGCAUUCAUUUUCUGGGAGAGAACCACCUACUCAUGUGUUGAGACCAAGACAUUCCAAUCCAACCACAAGAAUCUUGAUCUCUAGCCUUCCCCAAGUUGCUUUCCACUCAAAUCAUCUUUCCACCAUAGCCAAAUAUGUGAGAGAGAGUUGAGUGUUGGGGAGACUAUCAUUUGAAGCACAAAAGCAAGGAGUUCAUCAUCAAGACACCAUCAUUACCUUUUGGAGAGUGGUGUCUCCUAGAUUAGUUAGGUGUCACUUGGGAGCCUCCGUCAAGAUUGUGGAGUUGAACCAAGGAGUUUGUAAGGGCAAGGAGAUCGCCUACUUCGAGAAGAUCUACCCAAGUGAGGCAAGUCCUUUGUGGGCGAUGGCCAUGGUGGGAUAGACAAGGUUGCCUCUUCAUGGACCCUUCGUGGGUGGAGCCCUCCGUGGACUCGCGCAGCUGUUACCCUUCGUGGGUUUAAGUCUCCAUCAAUGUGGAUGUACGAUAGCACCACCUAUCGGAACCACACCAAAAAUCUCCGUGUCUACACUGUGUUUGACUUUCCAAACCCCUCCCUUUACCUUCAUAUGCAACUAUUUACAUUCCACUGCUAUACUCUUAGAAUUGCAUGUGUAGGUUGAUUGGUUGACUUGUGCUAAGCUGUUAAAAUCUGCCAAGACCUAAAUUGGGAAAAGGCUAGAUUUUUAUUUGGUCAAGUAGUCUAAUCACCCCCCCCCCCCUAUAGACCUACUUUCGAUCCUACAAGUGGUAUCAGAGCUUUGGUCUCCAUUUGCCUUGAUUUCCAUAGCUUUGGUGAUCAUAGCCUUGGUUUCACAACCUAGGAGAGUAUGGCGUCUAAUGAGGGAAAUUACCACCGUAGAGGUCCUUACUUUGAUGGUACUAAUUUUGCUAGUUGGAAACAUAAAAUGAAAAUGCAUAUUCUUGGACAUAACCCCGCUGUUUGGGCUAUUGUGUGUAUUGGCUUGCAAGGUGAAUUCUUCGAUGGAAGGGAACCAAAUCGUGAAGCAUCCGCGGAAGAAUUGAAGAUGUUGCAAUAAAUGCUCAAACUUGCGAUAUCCUCUUCAACAGAUUAUGCCCCGAAGAAUUCAACAAAUCAGCCAUCUUGAGAAUGCAAAGGAAAUUUGGGAUACUUUGAUUGAUAUGCACGAAGGUACCGAGUCCGUCAAGGAAUCCAAAUUGGAUGUGCUUCAAAGUCAACUUGACAAGUUUAAAAUAAAGGAUGGUGAAGGUGUCACUAAAAUGUACUCUAGGCUUGGUCUCAUCACAAAUGAGAUUGUCGGCUUAGGAAGUGAAGAGAUAACCGACAGAUUCAUCAUCAAGAAGAUCCUAAGAGCCUUGGAUGGAAAAUAUCAUACCGUGUGCACAUUGAUCCAAAUGAUGCCCAGUUACAAAGAUCUCAAGCCAACAGAAAUCACUGGUAGAAUUGUUGCUCAUGAGAUGUCACUCAAGGAUAAAUAAGAGCUUCAAAACAAGUCUAGUGGUACUUACAAAGCCUCAUGCUCCUACAUCAAAAGUGAGAAACAAGUCAUCAAUGAAAAAUUGAGCCUAAUGGUGAAGAACUUCAACAAGUUCUACAAGAGUCGAAGCAAAGAGAGAAGUCACAAGUCAAGGUCCUACAAUGACAAAAGAUCUUCUAGUCGUGAUCGCAAUUGCAACAAUUGUGGAAGAUUCGGACACUACUCAAGUGAUUGUACGGCUCCCUACAAAAGAAGAGAAGACUCGCCUAAAAGGAGAAGAAAAAGAGAAGAAUCACCACCAAGAGAAAGAAGGAGUAGAGAUGAUCGUUAUGAACGAAGAUCCUCUCGCAAAAGCAAGGAUUCAGAAAGGAAGGACAAGUCAUCAAAGAGCUACACAAGACGAAGACAUCAAGCUCAUGUUGGAGAAUGGGUUUCCGGCUCCGACUCCGACAAUCACUCCGAGAGAAGCUAUCACUCCGACUCCGAACAUACACAAGAUGAAGGUGUUGCCGGUCUAGCACUUGUGUCAACCAACUCCUACGACAUAUUUGACUCACCAAAUGAAGGUGUUGGAAUAUGCUUCAUGGCCAAAGGUCCAAAGGUAACACAUCCCGAGUAUGUUGAUUUCAAUAGUGAUGAAGAUGAUUUGGUAGGUGAUGAUGAUUUACUUGUUGACAACUCUAGUGAUGAAAACUAUGAUGAAAUUGCCAUUAAUCAUGCUAAUCAAGAUAAAACGAAUGAUGAUGAUAAGAAGGAGAUUGAGCGUCUAACUAAAGAACUAAACACUCUUAAGUUAGCUCAUGAAACUACCUUAGAAGAUCAUCGAGAGCUUUCAAAGACUCAUGAGAAGCUACGCUUUGAAAAGCUCAAUCUUGAGCAAGAGCAUGGGUUCUUAAAAGCAAUCAAUGAUGAUCUUCGUAAGAAAAGUUCUUCUUACAUUGCCAAGCAUUUACUCUUGUCUACUUACAUGCCACAAGUUAAAUCUAGCAACAAGAGUAAGAAAGAUUCUUCUUCUAGUAGUAACAACAAUCAUGUUAAAUCCAGCAUUGUUGCUUCUAGUAGUUCUCUUGAUUCCACUAAUGAUUCUCUUAGCCAAGUUACACUUGAUCAAGAAAAUAGCUUAUUAAAUGGAAUUAUAGAGAAAGGUGUUUACAAGAGCCUUGCCGGGAGUAAGCAAUUUGAGGAAAUUGUACGCAAGCAAGGAAGGCACCGAAAGAAUCAAGGUGUUGGUUUUGAACGCAAGUUCAAUGCCAAUGAAGUUGAGUGGGAAGAAGAUCAAUACCCCAAGACGAAGUUUGUUCCUCAAUAAGAGAAGUAUAAUCCCACUUCUUUCAAAGGAACACAAAAGCUCAAGAUGAUCUUCCACCACAAGACCACACGCUAAAAGGCAAGGACAAGCUUCAAGAGGAGAUUGAUGCAUUUGAAGAAGCUCCUAAGGCCUUGGUCAAGUGGGUUCCCAAGACUACAUCAAGUUCUACUUCAUCAAGUACGACUACAACUCCAAGGAUUCCCAUCAAGAUGAUGUGGAUCCCGAAGAAGAAGAACUAGAGAGUUCUUGAGGGUGACUCCGCCAACAAACUUCACUCAUAUUCAUUUUGGCGAGGAAAAGUGCAAUCAACUUCCAUAUCUUGCACUAGUUCAAGGAGUCACAAACCCUCUUAUUGGUAAGACAAUGGACAAGGUAAUCUAAUGCUUUCAUGGACAACAUCAUGUGUGUGUUUCACUCUAUGUAUAUGGAUAUCUUUGUAUGUUCCUUUUGGGACUAACCCAUGUAGGCAUUGAAAGUGCAACUCACUCCAAUGGAUUGCUCCAAAUGAUCUACAUCAACAUUGAGCAUCUACAUCUUCAACACCUACAUGAAGUCAUCAUCGACAAAACCCAUGGUUAGUUCAUCCCUCUUAGGGGGGAUAUCACAUCUAGGGGGAGCUUUACUCUAAGAGUUGAGCUAAAGCAACUCUAAUGGUGUGAACACAACAAUGCUUUGUGUAAAAGUGGUAACCCCAGUUGUGCUUAAACGAUGAGUAUGACCUAUGAUCAAAUGUUCUCAUUUGACUCCUAAGUCAAUUUACUCAUAUAUAGAUGACCUAGUCAUCGACAAAUUGCUUGAUAGAUGCUAGAGUGUUUGUGCAUGCUUUGCGACAUAUUUCAUUUGCCAUAUUAUUGUGUGAGCAUGUUGUUUGCAUACUUUUCCCAUUCAAGUACAUCCAUUUGUUGCUUUGUUUGUUUGGCUUUUUCUUUGCAAAAUGGAUGGACAAGAAUGCCUAAGAACUCCCUCUAGCUAGCUAUGAUUUUCUCAUCUCAAACUCUAUUCAUGCUACAUCACAAAGUUUGAACAAGUCGAAUUCGGACCCUCCGGGUGAGGAGCACUCGGAGUCACUGAUCCGUCAAGGGAUUAAUCUCCAAAACCUCUUAGUGCAUUUCGAUCUGACCGAUCCAUUCCAUUCGGUCAUACCGAGUUCAUUAAGUUGAUCUAGGUUUUAAUCUCGGUGCAACCGAUUAGAACAGUUCGGUCACACCAAGUUGCAGCAACCGCUUGUGAUUCUACAUCUCGGUGCCACCGAGUCGUUCCACUCGGUCACACCGACAGAGUAUGGAUAUAUAUACCCACGGGCCAAAAAUUUGGAAAUUUCUCUAAACCCUUCGCUCGCACCUGUCCAGCUCUGCUGACUCGUGGUCUCCGGAUCGUCUCCUCGUCGCUCGCUGCUUCCUCUUAAGCAUGCGUUGGUUUUUCCCUUGAAGAGGAAAGGGUGAUGCAGCAAAGUAGCUUAAGUAUUUCCCUCAGUUUUGAGAACCAAGGUAUCAAUCCAAUAGGAGGCUACACUCCAAGUCCCUCGUACCUACACAAACAAAUAAGAACCUUGCAACCAACGCGAUAAAGGGGUUGUCAAUCCCUUCACGGCCACUUGCAAAAGUGAGAUAUGAUAGAGAUAAUAAUAUUUUUGGUAUUUUUAUGAUAUAUAUUGGAAAGUAAAGAUUGAAAAAUAAAAUAGAUCGGAAACUUAUAUGAUGGAAAAUAGACCCGGGGGCCAUAGGUUUCACUAGUGGCUUCUCUCAAGAUAGCAUAAGUAUUACGGUGGGUGAACAAAUUACUGUCGAGCAAUUGAUAGAUAAGUGCAUAGUUAUGAGAAUAUCUAGGCAUGAUCAUGUAUAUAGGCAUCACGUCCAUGACAAGUAGAUUGAAACGAUUCUGCAUCUACUACUAUUACUCCACACAUCGACCACUAUCCAGCAUGCAUCUAGAGUAUUAAGUUCAUAAGAACAGAGUAACGCGUUAGGCAAGAUGACAUAAUGUAGAGGGAUAAACUCAAGCAAUAUGAUAUAAACCCCAUCUUUUUAUCCUCGAUGGCUACAAUACAAUACGUGCAUUGCUGCCCCUACUGUCACUGGGAAAGGACACCGCAAGAUUGAACCCAAAGCUAAGCACUUCUCCCAUUGCAAGAAAGGUCAAUCUAGUAGGCCAAACCAAACUGAUAAUUCGAAGAGACUUGCAAAGAUAACAAAUCAUACAUAAAAGAAUUUAGAAGAGAUUCAAAUAUUGUUCAUAGAUAAUCUUGACCAUAAACCCACAAUUCAUCGGAUCUUGACAAACACACCGCAAAAGAAUUACAUCGAAUAGAUCCCCAAGAAGAUCGAGGAGAACUUUGUAUUGAGAUUCAAAGAGAGAGAAGAAGCUAUCUAGCUAAUAACUAAGGAAUCAAAGGUCUGUGGUAAACUACUCACACUUCAUCGGAGAGGCUAUGGCGUUGAUGUAGAAGCCCUCCAUGAUUAAUUCCCCCUCCGGUGGAGCACCAGAAAAGGCCCCAAGAUGGGAUCUCACGGGUACAGAAGGUUGCGAAGGUGGAAAUAGGGUUUCGUGGUGCUCCUGGAUGUUUUCAGGGUAUAUGGAUAUAUAUAGGUGAAGGAAGUCGGUCAGGGAAGCCACGAGGGGCCCACAAGGGUGGGGGUGCACCCACCCCCCUAGGGCGCACCCUGGACCCUCGUGGACGCCUCGAUUGCUUCUUGACGUCCACUCCAAGUCUCCUGGAUUGCGUUUGUUUCAAAAAUAACUCUCCCAAAGUUUUCAUUCCGUUUGGACUCCGUUUGAUAUUCCUUUUCUGCGAAACACUGAAAUAGACAAAAAAACAGCAAUAUGGACUGGGCCUCCGGUUAGUAGGUUAGUCCCAAAAAUAAUAUAAAAGUGCUUAGUAAAGCCCAUAAACAUCCAAAACAGGUAAUAUAAUACUCCCUCCGUUCCUUGAUAUAAGGUGUAUAGAUUUUUGAGAAAAAACCCGAAAUAUAAGGUGUAUUGCAUUGCACCACUCAUUUGGAUUAUUUAUUUAGGGAUUUGAUUACAUUUCCUUAUAUUAGGCAAGCUCCUCUAUUUUCUCAUGCCAAUUAGUCAGGUGUAAUCUUGCCCAAAACUUAUGAAAUUUUCCCUCCAUGUGCAUUCUUUAAUUUCCGUGCCAAAAACUAUACACCCUAUAUUUAGGAACGGAGGGAGUAGCAUGGAACAAUCAAAAAUUAUAGAUACGUUGGAGACGUAUCACCCGCGACCUCCUGCCGCAGGUGUCCUCUGCCAUCAACGGAAAUCUUCACCGUCGUUGUCGCCGUAGCAGGUUCAUCACCAAGCUAGGGUAUGAACUCGACCCUUUGUGCUUUCUACACUCCGAUUCUUAGCACAAAUACAAUGACAUGAUUCUUGUCACGAUUGAAAUAGUUCUAUCCAAUCAAAACUUCCGCUAGAUUAGUUUUCAUCCAAAAACUUAGGGUUAGGUUUCCCUCAAACUCAUCUCGGUCCGACCAAUUUGAAAGAUUCGGUCUCACCAAUUUGGCCGAGGACAUUGCACAUGUACUACUCGGUCUGACCGAAGUGUACGAAUCAGUGUGACCGAGUUUACUUUCUUAGUGAAACCCUAGCAUCUCGGAGUCACCGAACUGUGUCUCGGUCCGACUGAUUUCACAUGUUUAGACUCUAAAGUUGCUUCGGUGUCACCGAGUUUGUCAUAUCGGUAGCUCUGAAAUGCUUUCUGCAGAAAACUAAAAUUAAGUUUUUUGAGUCAUUCUUUUUGCCAAAACAGUUGUACUUUGUGAUGCUCAUCUACUCUAUCUAUACCCAUCUAUUCAUAGGGACAGUUUCAGCAAUGUCAGACCAGAGUGACAGCCAGAACAGGUCAGAGGAGCACAAGAAUCUCAGUGAGGGCACUAGUCCCUCAAGUAGCUAUGAUGAUGGAAGCAGAAGCACUCCCAGCCAUCUGCUUGAGGCUGCAACUAGGCAGGGAAAGAAGAAAACCUCAGAUUCUGAAGAUGAGGAUUAUGUUGCUGAUGAGGAGGUCACUUCCAAGAAGAAGAUGAUCAAGAAAGAGCAAGUUGCUGCUACUACUGCUGGCAUCAAGCCAGGCAUGAAGAAGAAGGCUCCAGCUUAGAGGAAGCCUAUGUCAAAAGCCAGAGCUUCAAGUCAGGAAACAAUGGAAUUCUCUCUGGAACCAAGAGAAGAAGAAGCUGCUGGAGGAAAUAAGAGAAAGGAAAGGGUCAAGAAGACCAUUGCCAGAGUGAUUGGCAGAUCCUCAAUGAUGAAAGACCCAGCUGAAGAUGAGGAUGAGGAGGAAGAAGAAGCUGUUGCACCUCCACCAAAGUCUCAAAAACUUAUGGGUGAUGCAAUCAAGUCAGGGGCUGCUCCUUCUAAGCCCAAGACUGCCCCAAGCCAGCUGCUCAAGCAUCAAAACCCUUCACACCAAAGAGAAGUACCAGGAACAUCCCUGCUGCAGAGAAGAACAAGGCCCUAGUGCCUGAAGUUCAGGAAGAUGAAGAGCCCCAAGUGCUUAGAAAACUCAAACCAAAGAUAUCUGAUCAUAAUGACAGCCAUCAUGUUGCUGAAAACAUGAAGGAAAGGAAAGAUGCAAGUCUCAGAUUGUGGAGACAGUCAGAUCCAUAUGCUGCAAGGAGAAGGGUUGUUGUGGAUUACAGGUUCCACACUAAGGAACAACAGGACUUCUAUGAGACAGUCCUCCUGGACAAGAAGCCCAUUGUUUGUGACAUGAGAUGGGUUAACUAGAAAUUGAUUGAUGAUAAUGAAGACUAUUUCCCUGGAGUGCAUGAGAGCUUCGGACUGAAUGGAGUUGAUAAGUUUGUGGGUCAGAAAUUAACCGAAUGGAAUGAUGAGAUGGUGAUGCAGUUCUACUCAACAGCUCAUUUUUACCCUGAUGGCAAGAUUGUCUGGAUGAUAGAGGGUACUAGGUACCAAUCUUCCAUUGAUGAGUGGGCUGAGCUAAUCAAAGCUCCUGAAGAGGCUGAGGAUGACACUGAUGUAUAUGCAAAGCCUAGGAAAGACCACAACUCCAUGGCAAUAUGUACAAGGAGAUGCCUGACAAAGCCUUGGAAACUCAUAAGCUUGGCUCAGUAUACUAUCUGUUGUCUGGAUUGGCCACCAUGAACACAAUACUGAGGCACACAUUGUUGCCCAAGUCAGGAGGUCACAGGAUGAUCAGAGCCACUCCAUCAACUUUCUUUAAAUGUUUGAUGUGCCAUAGAAAUUCAAAGUGAUGAGCUUGAUAGUUGAAACAAUUAAGAGGACUGUAGCUGAUCAUAAGAGAUCAUGUGUCUAUGCCCCACACAUUCAGAUGCUCAUCAACUCCAAGAUGGGCACAUGUACAUACUUGCUAGAUAGAGAGCAUCUUCCCUUGAGGCCAAAGUUUGAGGAUAACAUAGUUGUUAUGGAUGCUUCAAAUCCCACUUCUGUUGAGGCUCAAGAGAAGAGAGAGAGAGAAGGCUAAGGCAGAAAAGGCUUCAAAGAUUCCAGAUCCCUUAGCAUUACAUCUCAAGAACAAGCAGGAUCAGCUCACCUAUCUGCUUGAAGCCACAAUGAGAAUUGAGAAAGGAUUAGCUACCCUGACUCAAAACCAAGAGAGUCUUGAGAGAAUCAUUGAAACAAAAUUCUAUGAUCUUGGCUUGAAGGUCAUAGAGAUUUAGCCUGCUGUUGAGAAACUCCAAGAAGAAGCAGAGGAUAGGAGAGAAAGAUCUACUAUAGAUGCAUAUCAGAGGGUGCCUAGAGCACACAGGUCUGCAGCAGUGCUAGUGAGUGACACUAGAGCCAUAACUUCAUCUCCUGCAGCCACAACCUCAGUUGUCCCUCCAGUGGCAACCCCUGCAGUUCCUUAGACAUCAGCCGAAGUCUUUGCAGAUGAUAUUCUCUCCACGCCAUCUUCGCACUCUGGAGCUCCCGGAGAUCGUGCUUAGAGUGUCGUAUAGCACUAUGCAUUUUCGAGCUUUUUGGUAACUUGUUGCCAAAGGGGAAAAAGUGUAUAGAUCAUAGGCUUCAAGAGAGAGAGUGUGUGUGUUGCUUUUGAUUUGUCUCUCUUGCUACUUAUUUGCUUGUGUUUGAUACAACAUUUGUGCUUAUGUGUGAGAUACUCGUAUGAUCAUGUGGUUGAUCAUAUUAUGCUUUAUUAUGUGUGCUUGGAUGAUGCUAUCCUAUCACUUGUGUAUGAUCAAUCAUAUUUGUCUUGGUGAUGAGUGCAUGCUAUUUAUAUCCUAUCAUUUUGAGCACUCCACCAAGAUGUAUGUGACAUGGAAGAGUAACCCAUGAGCCUAAUCGAUUGUGCAUUUGCAUUCAAAAGCAAAUCAUAAAUAAUUCACAAAUUUAGGAGGGGGGCUCUUGCUUAUCACAUACUUCUCAAAGCGACGAUAUAUUUCAUUCUUGUUAUUAUUUGUCGAAGCUUUGAUCUAUAUGUUGUCAUCAAUUACCAAAAAGGGGGAGAUUGAAAGUGCAACUAAUCCCUGGGUGGUAUUGGUAAUUCAUAACAACAUAUAGCUCAUUGAACUAAUAUCCUUUCAAGUUGAUUAUUUCAGAAAGUUCAAUGGUUGGCAUGGCAUGGACUAAAGAUGUGGACCCCUCAAAAUGCUAAGGACAAAUAUUGGCAAAAGCUCAAGACUCUUCAUUUCUAUUUUAGUGAUCCAAGAUCACAUUGAGUCCAUAGGAAAGCCAAUACUAUUAAAAGGGGAUGAGGUGUUGCUUAAUGGUCUACUUGCUCAAAAUGCUUAGUGAUAUGCUCCAAAGCCCUCAACCACUUUCUCAAUUCUAAAUAUGUCCAUAACCUAAAGUCAAACUCGGCCACACCGAUUUGAUUCAUCCGGUGCCACCGAGUUCACUUGAUAUAGCCAUAGCCAGAAACCCUAAUCAGUUCGGUCUCACCGAUAGGGAUCUCGGUCUCACCGAGAUGGGACUGCAAACUCUCUGUUUCCCUUCGUAACAUUUUGGUCUCACUGAAAUGAGCGAUCGGUCCCACCGCGUUCAUAGUGAAAACUCUAUGUUUCUCUUUCGUAAUGUUUUGGUAUCACCGAAAGGAGCAAUCUGUCCCACGGAGUUUGCCUGACCAACUCUCUAUUUGCUUGUUACUGAAAUCGGUAUCACCGAGUUGAGGUAAUCGGUCAAACCGAGAUCAAGUUUUGCCCUAACCCUAGCACAUUGGUCCCACCAAAAAUCUUAAUGUUCACAUUUUCAACUAAAUCGGUCUCACCAAGUUCACCUAUUCGGUCUAACCGAGUUGGCUCUUUUGUGUGUAACAGUUAGAUUUUGUGUGGAGGCUAUAUAUACCCCUCCACCCUCCUCUCCAUUAGUGAGAGAGCCAUAAGAACGUGCCUACACUUCCAGCAUUCAUUUUCUGAGGGAGAACCACCUACUCAUGUGUUGAGACCAAGACAUUCCAAUCCAACCACAAGAAUCUUGAUCUCUAGCCUUCCCCGAGUUGCUUUCCCCUCAAAUCAUCUUUCCACCAUAGCCAAAUAUGUGAGAGAGAGUUGAGUGUUGGGGAGACUAUCAUUUGAAGCACAAGAGCAAGGAGUUCAUCAUCUACACACCAUAUAUUACCUUUUGGAGAGUGGUGUCUCCUAGAUUGGUUAGGUGUCACUUGGGAGCCUCCGUCAAGAUUGUGGAGUUGAACCAAGGAGUUUGUAAGGGCAAGGAGAUCACCUACUUCGUGAAGAUCUACCCAAGUGAGGCAAGUCCUUCAUGGGCCAUGGCCAUGGUGGGAUAGACAAGGUUGCUUCUUCGUGGACACUUCGUGGGUGGAGCCCUUCGUGGACUCGUGCAACUGUUACCCUUCGUGGGUUGAAGUCUCCAUCAACGUGGAUGUACGAUAGCACCACCUAUCGGAACCACGCCAAAAAUCUCCGUGUCUACAUUGCAUUUGCCUUUCCAAACCCCUCCCUUUACCUUCAUAUGCAAUGAUUUACAUUCCGCUGCUAUACUCUUAGAAUUGCAUGUGUAGGUUGAUUGCUUGACUUAUGCUAAGUUGUUUAAAUCUGCCAAGACUUAACAUUGGAAAAAGGCUAGAUUUUUAUUUGGUCAAGUAGUCUAAUCACCCCCCCCCCCCUCUAGACCUACUUUCAAUCCUACACUCUCUCAAUCUCAUAAGAUGCAACUCAAGAAAGUAGGAGGUUGAAGAGAGAUGAUACAAUGGAGGGAAUCAACAAAUGACUCCAAGAUCCAUUCAAAAAUCCCCCUUCACCUAGAGGGGGGAUAGGGGUUUGAGGGAGGUGGUUUGUGGCUCAAAAUGAUUGUUGUAAUGUGUAUCAAUAGGACCCAAACCGGUGGGGAAGAAGAGCUCUUUUAUAGCCAACCCCCAAAACUAGUUGUUGGGGCUCCAACGGACACUUCCUGAACACCCUGUGCCCACGGGGUCCCAUGCCCACAGUACAAGCCCAUGUGCACGGGGGAGGGGGGCGUGCCCACGGCCUCAAAACCUCAUGCCCACGAGGUACCCAGAAACAACCCAAAGCAGGAAACUGAAACAUGCAUAACUUUGGCAUACAAACUCCGAAUUUGAUGAUCUGGGGCUCAUUUUAAAGCUAUGGAAAAGCCCAAGGUACUUACAUAGAGAACCACACAAGAUCAAAAAAAAAUAGUGAUGCAAAUUAUGCAAAGGUUUGAGCUCUCAACAUGCGAUGUGAUCAAGCUACUUGCCCGAAAGUCCCUCUUGAUAGUACGGUUAUCAAACCUAUAAUCCGGUGUCCCGCCAAGCACCAUGAGACCAGCAAAACUAGGAAAACCUAGCUAAGUUAUACCUUACCCUUGCACAUUUCACUUGAUUGUGUUGAUGGCGUUAAUGCUUGCCUCAAGUUGGAAUCCUUUUCUUAACCACAAUCACUUGGUGAAGAUAUUCGAAUUGCUUCCCAUAUUGCAAUGAUGGAAUCCUUCUCUUAAGCACAUAUUCACAUGUACAUGACCAAAUGUGUACCACAAGCUUCAAAGCAUAUAACCUCCGGCUUCUCAUCUUGCACUUGGACUCCCCAAACUCGAUGAUCAUCACCACUUGAUGUCAUCCUUACAUAGGCUACUCGAAAUCUUUCUUUUGAUGCAAGCCCAUGGCAAACACCUAACCCACAUAGACAUAGAAAACACAUAGCAUGGGUUAGUGCACAAAAUGCAAUUCACAAUUACUUACCAUACCACUAGAUCCCUUGAUCCCAAGUGGUACAUUGUUUGUGCUUGUGUGUUGACCAUCUAGAUACAAUCUUCGAGCUUCAUCUUGGUCAACCAAUAUCUUUACUUCAAGCUCUAUAUUGAUUUCUUGAAAGCCAUAAUGAACUCUUCAUUUUACUUCAUUGCUUCAAGACUAGAUCACCAAUGACUCUUUCAUGACCAUAUCAAGUUUCACCAUGAACAUCAUAUUGGUCAUCACUUGCUCUCCUAAAUGCCCCAUCACAAACUCUUGAGAGGUACGAUGAAUUCUUCACUCUAGUUGCUUGCUUCAAGACAUGAUUAACCAAGAUCCAACACAUGAGCCCGUCAUGAUCUUCUCUUGAUACCAUAGCUUGAAUUCUUGUCUUCAAUUAUACUCUCAAGACCUUGAUCCUUAUAAUCCCAAAUGUGUCAACCUUUGAGAUCCUCCAAUGGACUCCACCUUAAACAUAUUUGGUUAGACAUUGAUAUCAAUCUUGAUGGCUUCAUUAGAUACAUCUAAAGACCAACUAGUAUUCUCACUAGGCAUGAGACCCCAAGAGUCAGACCCUAGGCCCCGUGGGUAUGGAGGUCAGAAACCCCGUGUGCACGGGGUAUCCAGAGAGUUUAACACUCGACCCCGUGUGCGCCGGAUCAAGAAGCCCGUGUGCACGAGGUGUGCAGAGAGAUUACCCUGGACCCCGUGCGCACGGGGUAAGUAGAGAGGAUACCAUGAGGACUUCUUCGAGAGGCUUUUGAUGGAACUCUUCCCACAUAAAUCCAGCAUGCUUCAUGCAUCACUAUGAAACAUUUCUUCAUGUAGGAUACAAUGUCAUUGAUGCUCCAUAGGAAUUGUCAUUCAAUACCGAAGCUAAGAGCAAAUCUUCAUCUUUAUGGCAAUCAUCCUUAAGGCUCCACCUAUGUAAUAUCCCUUCAAAUAUAUCUGAGUGAAAGCAUUAGUCCAUAGAUAGUCAUUAAUUGCCAAAACCAUACUUAGCGGCUACAUGCCCUUUCACCUCUGGUCUUGGCCUUAAACCCUACCUCAUUCCCUUGAUUACUCGAUUUCUUGUCCCAAAUUCCCCUUGAUCCUAUCUGGGUCCCGGCGGGGGUCGGGGGGGUAGAGGGGAGAUAUCUCUUCUUCUUCUUCUUUCUUGCGGGUGUUAUCUUGUAUUUCUGUUGGCACACCUAGUGCUGGCUCAAGCAUAUGCAUCACAAUUUGACCCGAAAAAUCAAUGAAGAGCUAGAUCACUUCCUCAGACUCGGAAACCAUCACAUUCUGUGGAGGACGAGGGUGUCCCAACAGUAUACGAAGACCAAGUGGAGUGUGCCCGUAUAUAGAUUUGAUCAUGUUAUAAAACGUGAGUUGGAAACAAGAUUGGUCGUGUGCGCAACUCGCAGGAUGCAUGUGAAGUAAUGCCAUGCAUGUUGUUGAUACUUGAAAAAUUCGACGGAGUUGACCUCUGGAACGUGUUAUCUUUUCUCAGAGUAUCCGUCCGUUGGUUGCUGAAGUGGCCUCGUGCAUGCAUAUUAUCAAAAUUUAUGGAAACCAAACCCGUGUGACUGAACCUGCAGGUGUAUGGGCAUGGGAGAAGCAAAACAGCGCGUACGUACGACAAAUGCUCAAAUCUGAAGCAAGUCUGGCACAGGAAAAAUAAUGUAGGGAUAAAAAAAAAGUCAUGAGAGGCAUGAAAUUGCAUGAUUUGCAUGUACAGCGUAUCAAAAAUGAAUCUAUUUAUACAUAUCUUCUUUUCUACAUAUUUGUCCAUGAUCGGAAUUUGGCGGUUGGAUUGCAGGGUGUAUGAUGUCAGUGAGGAGUCGGAGUAGCGAGCACGAUGCAUUUGGUUGAUGCUUUGACCACGAGCCUGGACGUUUGUUGCGCGAAGCUAUCCACCGUGUGUUGGGGGGGUUGACUCAGUUUUCACUGCAAGACUUGGGCCCUCUGGUGCAAAGAAAAAAGACAAAAACAAAUUACACGGUCAGUGUCUAGGUGAGAAAGACAUCAUUGACUGAUGGACAAGGUAAAACCAAGUUGCAGUAAUAAGGAUAGUAGUGAAAAUUCAAAAAAAAAAUAAGGAUAGUAGUGGCAGAUGUAUAAAAGAAUUAGUAGUAAAAGCAGGUAUCAGGUGUGGAUGAUUAAGUUAUAACUAAGCAAGCAGGCAUCCAUCGGUAUGAACGGGACUGAUGAUUGCAUCGCAUGUAAUAGUAUGUAUAUGUGUGUAUGCAUCAUGCAUGAGCACCGAGUAGUCGUGCGCCCCUCUCCUUGGCGCCUCCCCAGUAUUGACGCACCUCUUCGAUUCCACUCCAGUUGGCUGAUUGGAUGGAACCAUUCAAAUACAGCCAUGGCCGUGGACGCGCUUCCUCAUUACUACCUUUCUCCCCAUUCCAUCGCCAUUGCCGCACCACAACAGAUGAGGGGGGAAAGGUAACCUUCCUUUGCUCUUGCUCUACAUUCCCAAUUCGCCUUCCUGAUUGCAUGCACCCUCUAUGUAAUCUACUGAUUCAUCGUUUUCCUUUCCUUACAAAGCAAAAUACACUUGCCAUUUAUUCUCCCCCUUUUCCUGGAGGAAAAAAAAAGAGGGAAACAACCUGCAUGCAUCCAUUUGAAUUUCGUUUUUGCGUCACCCAGGCUGCGUUUAUUGGUUGUUAUGAUCUGCCGAUUACGAUUUGAUUUCCUGUAUGCUGUGCUUUCCAAAUAUGUCUUGGCAAAAAUAAAUCUACAGCGAGACUAAUGUCAAUGUUUUCCUUUGUUUCGGCAUAUUAUUCAUCCUGCAGAUCAGCCACAAGAUAACAGCAUAAUAACAACAUCACGAGGAAGAAGAGAGUCAGAGUGAAGAGCACGUACAGAGGAGGCCAUGGGGUCCAAGGGAAUCCUCAAGAACAGCGGCUCCAGCCGCAUGCCGCCGCACGGCCCCAGCAAGCCACCCACGGCACCAACAUCGGCGCCGCAGGUGGUCUUCGGCCGGCGAACUGAGUCUGGGCGCUUCAUCAGCUACUCGCGCGACGACCUCGACUCAGAGAUCAGCAGCGUCGACUUCCAGGACUACCAUGUCCACAUCCCCAUGACGCCCGACAACCAGCCCAUGGAGGAGGACGGCACCAAGGCCGACGAGCAGUACGUCUCCAGCUCGCUCUUCACCGGCGGCUUCAACAGCGUCACCCGUGCCCAUGUCAUGGACAAGCAGGGCCCUGACUCCGACAUUGGUCGAUCUGGCCCCAAGGGCUCCAUCUGCAUGGUCGAGGGGUGCGACAGCAAGAUCAUGCGCAACGGCCGUGGGGAGGACAUCCUCCCCUGUGAGUGUGACUUCAAAAUCUGCGUCGACUGCUUCACCGACGCCGUCAAGGGUGGCGGCGGUGUCUGCCCCGGGUGCAAAGAGCUUUACAAGCACACCGAGUGGGAAGAAGUUCUCUCCAACUCCAGCAAUGAGCUGACACGGGCUCUGUCGCUGCCACAUGGGCCAGGGGGCAAGAUGGAGAGGCGUCUUUCGUUGGUGAAGCAGGGCACUAUGAACAACCAGUCCGGUGAGUUUGACCAUAACCGCUGGCUCUUUGAGACCAAGGGGACAUAUGGCUAUGGUAAUGCCAUUUGGCCAGACGACAAUGUGGACGACGAUGGCAGAAAUGGAGUACCAGGGCACCCCAAGGAGCUCAUGUCUAAACCAUGGCGGCCACUCACCCGCAAGCUCCAGAUUCCAGCUGCUGUCAUCAGUCCUUACAGGUGCCAUCUUUUUUCCUUAAAAACAUGUGCCAUUACUGUUACCUGUCAAUCAAAAGUUAUAUGUACGGGUUAAUGCCUAAACAAGAAGUAUGCUGGCUUACCCACUAACACAAGAAUAAUGAAUCAGUUGAUUUUACAUUAAACUAAAGGAACUGCAGUUAUGCAUUACCCUCUCAUUAGGCCAACCCCUAAUAAAAUUGAUGGUGUUAAAAAGUGAUUAGAGCCAGAUGCUGUUAACCUUCAAGUAAAUGUAGUCUAGCAAAGAGAAAUGCUACAAGGAAGCCAAGUAAAUAACCCUACUAUACCAAUUGGUUUCAAUACCAAUCAAAUGCAUAUAUAGUGACUGAGUUGUCAAUUUCAGCCAAAGAUAAUAGUGUGUACAGACUAGUAAAAAAGUGUGCCUAUACAGUUCUUCCAAAUACCAUAGCAUGUGCACACAGACUAGUUAAAUGUGUUCUCUGUCACAAAACUUUAAAAAAAUCCACAUAUAGCAGUUGAAAAGAAAAUGCAAAGAUCCCACACUUGCAUAGUAUUCUACUACUUGUUGGUUCAAAUUUCAGUUACACAGAAAAUAUACCGAUAUUUAUUAAUACACGUGACAACAUCUAGGUGCAUUGCUAUUUUGGGAGACCUUCCUCUUGUCUGAAUUGUCUCUUGCAUGCAGGCUCCUUGUCCUAAUCCGAUUGGUUGCACUGGCCUUCUUCCUCAUGUGGCGUAUCAAGCAUCAAAAUGAUGACGCCAUCUGGCUCUGGGGAAUGUCAAUUGUUUGUGAGCUCUGGUUCGCAUUUUCAUGGGUGUUGGACCAGCUUCCAAAGCUUUGCCCUAUCAACCGUGCUACAGAUCUCUCUGUGCUUAAAGAAAAGUUUGAGACACCAACGCCGAGCAAUCCAACAGGCAAAUCUGAUCUCCCUGGAAUCGAUAUCUUUGUGUCAACUGCUGAUCCAGAAAAGGAGCCGGUCCUGGUCACAGCAAACACAAUUCUCUCGAUCCUUGCAGUUGACUACCCUGUCGAUAAGCUUGCAUGUUAUGUGUCAGAUGAUGGAGGGGCACUGCUAACCUUCGAGGCGAUGGCUGAGGCAGCAAGCUUUGCCAAUUUCUGGGUGCCAUUCUGCAGGAAGCAUGACAUUGAACCCAGGAACCCAGACAGCUACUUCAACCUGAAGAGAGAUCCUUUCAAGAAUAAGGUGAAGGCCGACUUUGUCAAGGACAGGAGAAGGAUCAAGCGUGAGUAUGACGAGUUCAAGGUUCGCGUUAAUGGCUUGCCAGAUUCCAUCCGGCGCCGCUCUGAUGCAUACCAUGCCCGUGAGGAAAUCCAGGCAAUGAAUCUUCAAAGGGAAAAGAUCAAAGCUGGAGGUGAUGAGCAAUUUGAGCCAGUGAAGAUUCCCAAGGCAACAUGGAUGGCUGAUAGCACUCACUGGCCCGGUACAUGGAUUCAUUCGUCACAAGAUCAUGCACGUGGUGAUCAUGCAGGAAUCAUACAGGUACUGAUUCGAUGAUGAUUGCGUAAACACAAUUUCUGGUCUAGACCUAGUUAUUUACAUGUUUCUUCUAUAUCACAGGUUAUGCUGAAACCACCAAGUGACAUGCCAAUGUAUGGGAACAUUGAAAAGUCACCUCUUGACUUUUCAGAAGUGGAUACAAGACUUCCAAUGCUGGUGUACAUGUCACGAGAGAAACGUCCAGGAUAUGAUCACAACAAGAAAGCAGGUGCCAUGAAUGCAUUGGUUCGUGCAUCAGCCAUCAUGUCCAAUGGUCCCUUCAUUCUUAAUCUGGACUGUGAUCACUACGUCUACAACUCAAAGGCCUUCAGGGAGGGCAUGUGCUUCAUGAUGGACCGUGGUGGAGACCGACUCUGCUAUGUGCAGUUCCCUCAGAGGUUUGAAGGCAUUGACCCUUCUGACCGGUAUGCUAACCACAAUACUGUUUUCUUUGAUAUAAACAUGCGUGCUCUUGAUGGUCUGCAAGGACCAGUGUAUGUCGGCACUGGAUGCCUGUUCCGGCGAAUCGCCCUAUAUGGCUUUGACCCACCUCGUUCCAAGGAUCACAGCCCAGGCUUUUGUGGUUGUUGCCUCCCACGCCGCCGCAAGGCAUCAGCUUCCAAUGCUAAUCCCGAGGAGACAAUGGCUCUCCGUAUGGGUGAUUUUGACGGGGACAGCAUGAACCUCGCCACAUUCCCGAAGAAGUUUGGGAAUUCCAGCUUUCUCAUUGACUCCAUCCCAGUAGCAGAGUUCCAGGGAAGGCCCUUGGCUGACCAUCCAUCUGUCAAGAAUGGGCGUCCACCUGGUGCUCUAACAAUUCCACGUGAAAUACUGGAUGCAUCCAUUGUGGCAGAAGCAAUCAGUGUAGUUUCAUGUUGGUAUGAAGAGAAGACAGAGUGGGGCACUCGUGUUGGGUGGAUCUAUGGAUCUGUCACUGAGGAUGUUGUGACAGGGUACCGCAUGCAUAAUCGUGGAUGGAAGUCAGUGUACUGUGUCACACAGCGUGAUGCCUUCCGCGGCACUGCCCCUAUCAAUCUCACAGAUCGUCUUCACCAGGUUCUUCGGUGGGCUACUGGUUCUGUCGAGAUCUUUUUCUCUCGGAACAAUGCAUUGUUUGCCAGCUCCAAAAUGAAGGUACAAGCCCCUCAAGACUUUCUAUUUCCAUCCCUUACUAAAGUAGACUCACCAAAAAUAUGACAAACCAUUUUUGCUUCACAGGUACUACAAAGGAUCGCAUACCUCAAUGUUGGCAUAUAUCCCUUCACAUCCAUCUUCCUCAUUGUCUACUGCUUCCUUCCAGCACUGUCCCUUUUCUCAGGGCAGUUCAUUGUGCAAACACUCAAUGUCACCUUCCUGACAUACCUACUUAUCAUCACCAUCACGCUUUGUCUCCUGGCCAUGCUGGAGAUCAAGUGGUCUGGAAUUGCACUGGAAGAGUGGUGGCGGAAUGAACAAUUCUGGCUUAUUGGUGGAACUAGUGCUCACCUAGCUGCUGUGAUGCAAGGUCUACUGAAAGUUGUUGCAGGGAUUGAGAUCUCAUUCACACUCACAUCAAAGCAGGUGGGUGAUGAUAUCGAUGAUGAAUUUGCAGAACUCUACGAAGUAAAGUGGACUUCAUUGAUGAUACCACCUCUCACCAUCAUCAUGGUGAACCUUGUUGCCAUUGCUGUUGGCUUCAGCCGCACAAUUUACAGCACAAUCCCGCAAUGGAGCAAGCUUCUUGGUGGAGUGUUUUUCAGCUUCUGGGUGCUUGCCCAUUUAUAUCCAUUUGCAAAGGGGCUCAUGGGCAGGAGAGGCAGGACACCCACCAUCGUGUAUGUCUGGGCUGGAUUAGUUUCCAUCACUAUUUCAUUGCUCUGGAUUGCAAUCAAUCCUCCGUCAUCAGCUGCCAAUCAACAGUUAGGCGGGUCGUUCUCUUUCCCUUGACCCAAUUCAUGCUGAAGCUUCAUAGCUCUUGUUGGAUUCACAUACUGAUUGCUGAAGACAACAGUACAAUAUUGGGUUCCCUAGCAGGCCAAAAGGGCACUCUAUGAACCACAUUCUGCAUUACAUGAUGGGUUAAUCUGCAGCUGAAUCCAGAUCAAGUUCGUCACAACAAUUGGCAUAGGAUAUCUCUAGUAUAUUAUCAUUAUUUUUGGUUGUAAUGUUUUGUCAGUAUGUCAAUAAUUUACAUUACACAAUCUCUCGCAUUUGAGCUGAAUGUCAUUCUUUGGUCACAACUCUUACUUUCUUUCUUGACAAAAUAUGAUUACCAUAGCUUACAAGUACCUGACCUUUCGGGAUACAACUUCUACAAUUCAGAGUUGGAGCUCACUCCUAUUCAGACCGAUAGUGAUAUCUUCUAAUUGAAAGGAGCGCUCCUGCCAGUUUCUCGAAAAAAAAUGAAAAAAAAUGUGUGUGCGUAUUCCAUAUAAAACAUAGACAUGAUAGUGCUAAAACGGAUACAGAAAUGCCAUUUUCUUUGUAAAAGUAAUGCAUCAACACAAAUUACUAAAAAAUGGACUGGGAAAUUCCUGAAUGCAAAUAGUUAAAAAAAGAAAUCAUGCAUGGCAUAGUUGGAACUUAUGUAACGAUGAUACACUGUUAAACUAUAUUCUGAAGAGAAUGCAUAAGGUACAAUUUGAAAAUUGCUGGAGAAACAACUAAAGUAUACCUGCAAUUUCUUUCAAAUCUAGUUUAUGAGCGGCAUUGCAAAAUCAUUUAGGUGUAAGCCUCUUGAAAUAGAGUACAUCAGCAUCGUGUCAUGGAAAGAUUCAAUAUUGCCAAGAGCACACUGCCUCAUUCUCGGUGUUAAAUCAAACUGCACAUGUCUCACCAACCUGCAUCUGAGUAGAACCCAAAGUUACGGAUACAUUUUAAAAUUUAUCAAAAUAAUGGUGGGAUGAUAUUCAAAAGGUAUGUACCUACGAGGUAAACAUCUCUUCAAUAUUUAUGGUAAUUUUUGUUGGGCGCUUCAAGGGGAAAAUGUUAUAGCAAGGAUCUUGCGGUAGAAAUUCAUUUAGAAUUUCUCCAGCCUUUAGUAGUUUAUAUUUUGUAUCAAUUACAUCACAAAGUGGAGAUACCAGAAACAGCAUGCUUGUUCCGUCUAAAAGUAGACUAUGAAGCUGAGCAUACAAGCAGAUCGCAUGUUGAGUCAGACCCAUCACUUUCAGCACUGAUGGAAUCCUCCAAAACGAAUCUAUGACCAAUUGAUUGAGAAAGUAACCAGCAAGUUUUGGUGCUUAGUUUCAUGCCUAGAUUGAGCAUUUCUCUGAUCAAAGCUGUUGCCGAACUAAUGUGCUGCAAUUUCACUAAGAGCACAACUACCACGUUGAAUGAGAUACUAUCCAUCUGAACAUUGGCGCCUUCCAUUUCUGUUAGUAACUGCGUGACUGCAAGCAUAUCCCUGGCUCUACACAGUCCACGAAGCAUUACAUUGUAUGUACAAGUGUUGGAAGCAACUCCUGAAUCCUUCAUCUUGUCAAACAAAUCACGAGCCUCUUGAACAAAAUGACCUCGGAAUAGACCAUGCAGAACAAUGGUGUAGCACACGGUAUCAAGUGCAUAAUUUUGACGCACAGCCUCCCUGAGAAUCCUAAAUGCCAUUAUGUUCUGGCCCCUUCUAACAAGGCCACGGAGGAUGGCUGCAUGGACGUAGGCGUCUGAAUCAGGAUUGCUUGUGACAACACUGCGGUAGAGGUUGACUGCAUGAUCUAUCCUUCCCAAGUGACACAAACUAUCCAACAAUCCAACAUAACUGUAGCUGUCUGGCCUGAUGCCCAAACCAAUCAUAUCGAUGUAGAACUGAAGGGCUUCGGAUGGAAACCCGGACUUGCACAGAGCACUCAGCAUAGAAUUGCAAGCCACAAGAUCAUAAGAGAUAUCCGAGCCCAGGAUUAACCUAGGGAGAAGAUCUAUGUUCCGUGACAACUGCAAUACCUGAACCAAAGUAGACAAAGUGUAUGCAUCCGGCUUUAUCUGGCUCCCAUGAAGAUGUAGGUAGAUGUCUAUGGCCUCAUCGUACCUCCUCUCCCUCAUCAUGCAGUCCAUCAGAACAUUAUACAUAACAAGGUCUGGGGUGCAACCGUUGGAUGCCAUGGAUCCCAAGAGCUCACUGGCAAUGUCAUGCCUCCCAGCUCGGAAGAGACCUCUGACAAGCGGUGUGUAAGUCACCACUGUUGGUGAAGAGCCAGAACGCACCAUAUUUCCCAGAGUUUUACAGGCCUCGUCUAGCCUUCCCUCACUGCACAUACGAGCGAUGAGACACGUCCACAUGGCCGCAGUGAGCUGCUGGCCCGAGACAAGCGCAUACGACAGCAACUGCAGUAGCUCGGGCAUGGUACCGGCCUUACUGCAACAGGCAAACACCGAGGCGAGCGAAGUGGUGCUGGGGAGAAAACCUUGGCUCAGCAUAGCUGUGAAACAGACGCGCAUCCCUGACCAAUCCCCGGCUCUGGAGAGAUGAGUCAGGACAAUGGCAUAGGUGAGGUAGUUGGGCGACGGGUUGCCCUGCACGAAGCGCAGCGCGUCGUCGACGGAGCCGGUCCUGAGCAGGACGUCGAGGACGACAUUGCGCGCGAAGGCGUUGUGGUGGAAACCCCAGCGGGGCAUUUCGUCGAACAGGUGGAGCACGAGCGGGUACAGGCCCCCGCGCCAGUAGAGCCUGAGCAGGAGCAGGAAGGUGUGGGGCCUGAUGGGGCAGCCAAGGCUCUGGAGCUCGCGGAGGAGCGCCGGGGCGGUGCCGAGGCGGGAGGCGAGGCGCGUGGCGGCGGGGAGGACGCGGUCGAAGGACGAGGGCGGGUGGAAGUAGGCGGGGCGGCGGGCGCACCAGAGGAAGAGGGAGAGCGCGAGGGCGUCGGAGGGGCAGCGGGAGACGGCAGCCUCGACGAUCUGCGGAGACAGGGUGGGCGGCUGGGGCUGUGGCUGGGGCUUGGCGGCGAAGAAGGCGGCGGCGAGCCUGGCAGGGAGCGGCGGUGUCCGCCUCCGUGCGGCGUGGAGCAUAGAAGCAGCGAGUGGGCGGGGACGGCGAGGCUGGCAUUGCAGGCGCGAACACGGGCGGGGAGGAGCUCAGUGAUAUCUGCCUAAUUGCAUGGAGAGCAGAGCAAGCAAACGCCGCCGGCACGGGCACGGCGGCGGCGCUGCGUUACGUGGGGAGGAAGGAGGCUGAAACGGCAGGCAAACCUCCCAAUUCCCAAAUACGAGUACUGGACAUAGUAACAUUUUCUUUUGCCUGUCUGGACAUAGUAACAUUGAUGGAUCAUUUCACAUGAUAUUUGAUGUAUAUUAAAUCUGUCAAAGAAGCUUAUCCAACAUCGUCGCAGGUAUACUCAGUGCAGGCCUCCAGUGAAGAUAAUCCAGUCCAGGCCUUACGAGAUCUUAUGGUUUCACCUCUAUCCAAGUUCAAGUUGAAACUAAAUGCUUUGUUGCUGUCGUUACUAAUUCUGUCAAAGUCGUAUUGCUUUAUCUUGAGGUUUCACAAGUAGAUAGAGUAUGAUACUGCAUUUUGGGUUUAUUUAUCACGCGAUCGAAAUUGAUGCAUGCUUAGCAAUGAUGCAUUACAAGCAAUAGCCAAGGGUGCAGCUUUCAGAGGGAGAAACAACAAUAUGAAGCUCUUUUAUGCAAUUAAAAACGAGGCCCAUGCGUUGUAUGGUUAGAAACCGUACGCAGCCAGAAUUCAAAAGGCUCAUUGUCUGGCACAAACAUAAGAAAAUGAGCAAGAUUUUCCUGCGUGUCCAUGUCGAUAGCACAAUGGAAGAAGAAGAAAUGUCAAAUCGCUGGAUUACAGAUUAUAAAGUUCGACAGGAAAAAAACUAGUGACGCCCUCUGCCGGUAUGAUUUCUCUGUUUCGAUCCGUGAUGAUAGAAGCAAGUUACAAGUCCAGACCAAUAGGACACCCGAGGCAACAAGUUUUCGUUAUCAAGAAAAGAGCAGCUAGCACGCGCAGCACAGCCAGAUGGUCUCUCGUUUUACACCGCCGCCUUGCUCGCAACCAAAGCCUAUUCAGAAUCAUUUUUGGCCAACAAGCUAAGCCGCCACGAGAUCGGGGGUCUCUGCCUCGAUGGACAACAGUGUGGUAUGCACUUUGCCGACCCACGAGUCCAGGCGCUCACGCAACGCCUUCACCUGUGGGAUGCCAAGUACUCUAGGCUGGACCCACGAAACAUGAACCGUGCUGUCGACUUCAUCGAUGAUUCCUUCUAUGAGAUGAACCUGCAAUGUACAGGAAAUAUGUGAGUGUUUCAAAUAGAUAUGCAAUUCAGGGAACUCCACUGCUGCUUCAACUAUAGGGGAAGCACGAUUUUGGCUCCCAAGAACAUUCAGGGACAGCAUUACUACUACUGGAACUGAUGCACAAAAUCUGGAAGGAAACUGAAACAGAUCUGAAGUACUACCACCGUCCGGGCUUACAAGGACCCUCUUAUUUUGGGCUAAAGUUUGACCAUAAAUUUAUAGCUAAUAAAAUGUAAACUACAUGUCGUAAAAAUUAUAUUAUGGGAAACCUCUCUUAAAUACAAAUCCAACAAUAUAUAUUUUUUGUUUCAUAUAAUUUAUAUUUUGUUAGGUUUACAGAUGGCCAAAGUUUGACCCAAAAUACGAGGGAGACCAAUAAACCAGAAGGAGGGAGUAGCACCCAGCAUUCUGAAACAGAUGGGAAGUAAUGACACAAUGGACAGACAACACAAACAGUAGACGUAAAAAAAACAAGAUACGGGCAUUUGUAUAUACCUCACACAACAACAGUUGGAUUUGCAAUCAAAACCCAAUAGUUUUUAAAUAGCACCUAAACAGUAGUACGCCACAAGUGAACAGAAAGGAUCUGAAUAUCAAUUCAGUAACACAUCACGAAUUAUUAAAAAUUGUUGUUCCAUAACAACCCACUGUCUAAAUAUGUGCUGGGUUCUGAUUCCCAAGCCAUAACAUAAAAUACUGCAAGCAUAAAACAAGAGGCAUACAACAAAAUACACAAGUUUCUAUGAACAUGAAACGGAAAUCUUAUGGCGGAAGAAUGUAGGAAAUGAAGUUACCGAGAGGCUCUUCAUAAGAAGACAUUCCACUUCGCUGGUUGAAAGCUUAGUCUGCUUGGCAAUAACACUUAAUGGGAUGGUUCUAUCUUCUGAUGGCCGGCUAAAGAAUGCAACACAACAAAAAAUAUUAGGAAAAAACACGACAGGAAAUGGAGGUGAUAUUGGAAAGUAAUAGCCCAAAAAUGGUACCUGAAGAUUAUCUCCAUCAGACACAGAAUAUUGAUCUUCUCAAGCAGUUUCUGUUCAUUCUGCACCAAUGCAGGCUGUGCACUAAGAGCAGCAUUGUGAACCCCACAAAGCUCUUGGUAGAGAGCUAGGUUGCCGGUGUUGAACGCUUGUAACAUGUGAUAGACCCACUCCACCUUGGUCCCAAUAAGACUAUUGAUCUAUAAGGUACAAACAAGAGUAAUUUCACUACUUCAGGAAUGAGAAGUUUCAAAUAGGUUUAACUCAAAUCCAGAAGGAACGACGUUCAUGUGCUACUAGUCAGCUUGUCUUAAACAGAUAUUAGUAGUGAUAUUAGUAGUAGUACGCCCAAAUUACUUGUCCAACUAAAAGGUAGUUUGCUAUAUUUAUGUUAACCAAAAGAAUCAUCUGUGCUCACAACCAAUGAGUAAAUAUAGUGCAUGCCUUUGUAUACAAAAGGCUUCAUAACUAUUCUGUCAAACUUUUGCAUAGCUUAAUUUUGAUCACUCGCCUAUAACUGCAUACACCAACUAACAUAGUUGCCAAUGAGAGUUCAACAAUUAAUACUGCUAUAUUUGUGUUUGAUACUGUGAAAGGCACUCUGUUUCAGUGGGUACUACAAAAUCCAUCCCUUUGAUACUUGCAGUGUAGAAUUCAAAAGAAAUUGUCAUUUAGCAAUCAGGACGAUCAAGUAUGUGGAAAGAUGCAUGUAACAGCAUCCAGAAGCAAGUGGAAUAGAUGACAUACGCACUAUGCAAAAAACAAACUACAAAUGCGUCAAUUCAGGGCUGGGAACAAUACAGUCGUGCACGAACAAGCAACACUUAAUUCGACAAAAGGACAAGCAAUACUUACAAUAGGGUGAGCUAACAAUUCCCCGAAGUUGUAGAUGUUGUCCCCCAGCAAGGCUGCAAGGGAAAGGUCAAAUGCCAAGUCCUGUUUCAAGACAAUAGGUAUCAAAUAUACAUAGAAAUAACAUCCAUGGCCCAUUUCAGGCUAUAUAAAAGAAAAGACUGAAUAAAACACAUUCUUCUGCUGCACAAUCGAUGAAAUUGUUAACUGCAAAACUUACCAGCUUGAAUGACUCUGAGAGAGACCCUACGGUUGUGUAGGCCAGAUAGAGAAGUGCGUUCUUAUAGAACUCAGCAAACUCUUGGAGCGACUUAUGGUACUGAGACGAUAUCCAGUAGAAGCU
rnacentral:lncRNA from 1 species